rnacentral:lncRNA from 1 species
UAAAAAAAAAAAAGAUCUAAUAACUAUAGUAACUAUCAAGUAAGAACAAAAUGUUGUAUAUGAAAUGCGACUAGUGGUUAUAGACCAGAAGACCUAAGAAAAAGAGGCAUCAUACUAACCAAAACACACAAUUAAAUGGCGACACUGCUUGUUUGUGUCCCCCAUAAACCAAAAACCUCAAAUCAAACUUACAACAUGCACCUACAAUGAGCCCAGAACCAAACCAUUGUUGACGAAUAAAACAACACUCGCAGCAACCAAAAUAAAAGGAAGAUUCUUGGAGGCCAAAAGUAAACAGAGAGAGAGAGAGAAUCAAUCAAACAAGGAAGUAACUGAGAAUAGGAAAUAAAGCGAAUUGAAGGAACGUAAACGGGGAAGUAAAAAGAACGAACGAACAGGUGUGAAGGCACUCGGAGAUUGUCGCAGAGGGGACAAGUCAUGCAUGCAUGCCACCACCACCCUCUCCCUCUUCACUCUACCCAUCUUUUCGCCUUCCAUUAUUCGACGAAUCGCACGUAACCGACCACCCAGGAAUCGAAUGCCCUCCCCAGAUUUACGUUCAACUCAGUCUCUCUUCCGACAUACAGUCAGUCAGACACAUUCAAGUCUCAAUCAAAAAAAGACCUGAAGAGAAACUACUAUCCCCUAUAGACGGAGGUUUCCUCCUUUUGUUUUUUUUUUUUUUUUUUUUUAAUGGGCUUUCUCACAUAACCUUUUUACUCUCUGUUUUGGCAACUCUGUGCGAUUUUGCUUUUGUUUUUUACAGUUUAUACACUAAAAUGGUUUUAAAAAUCGAUGAUCAGAGUAAAAAUAAAAUCAACUGACUGAAAAAAAAUCAGAAAUUAAAUAUAGAAUUUAGUCUACACUUCAUCUCUCGAGGAGGAUGAAGAGUCUGGUCUUUCACUCUGAGCAUGGAAAUAUAUAUCUUUUAGCCUUCAUCAGUGUUCAUAUCUAACUCCUUAUCCAUUUUUUCAUGUGAGGACGUUAAUCAACAAAAACAAAACUUCUUUUGUUUCCUUGUAAUUGUAAGCGUGUUUUCAUGUGUACAUGUUGUUUCAAUAUGUUUCAUUUAGAAAUCAGACCAUGUCAGACUGAGUCAAAGACCAGAUGGUUACAUAACUUACGAGCAUAAUAUACAAGAGCCUCAUCGAUAGAAGUCAUGGACACUAGGAAUAACAAAUUACUUUUCUUGGACUAAGUUACAUGAAAUUUCAAUAAAAAUCAAUUGACAAUUGCGACUUGAGAAUCCAUUGGUCCAUGUCUUUUAUAUCACUUUCGGUCUCAUCUCCUUUGAUGUGAGACUCCUAAAAAAUUCUUUAAUCCACGUUUAAUUAAAGAACUCAAGACUCAAGAGGGAUAGAAUCUUUGGCAAAUUGAUGAAAAAGAAAUGGCACGCAAGAGAAACCCAUAGGAAUUUAUAUUCCUUCAGGAUCACUAUUGAAGUAAGAUUGAGAGAAUCUCCCAAAUAAAAUCAUAUCUUGUUGUAUAGUGACAUGGUUCAAGAAUUGGGUUUUUAUUUCUGACACGAUCCGAUCCGGUCCAUCAUCACGAGUCUCCUGGUUCCCUUUUAGUGGCUGCGAAAAAUACCGUCAAUCCAAAGAAGAAUAUAAAGUAUAUAUCUUUGCUUAUUCGCUGCCACUUUGGGCUAUUCAACACCCUUCCUCUGAGCAUGAUUCUUGAAACAAAAUAAUUACUAUACUAAAAGGGAGAUAUAAGCUCUUCUUAAAAUGUCCAUAUAGACACAAAAAAUCGUCCAAUCAGAGAGUCCGAAAUUGCCACGUCAUUUUAUUUAUUUUUUCGUAAAAAAUGAAAAAACAAUGCAAAGGAAAUGAUCGAACCCGGGUUAGUAUGUCCGAAAUUGCCACGUCAUCUCAUUUAUUUUUUCGUAAAAAAUGAAAAAACAAUGCAAAAGAAAUGAUCAAACCCGGGUUAGUAUGAUAUAAAUAUAUAACACAUACCACUAAGCCAUUGAAACUUUCUUGGACACAUAUACAAGAAUCACUAAAUAUGUAAUCACAAAUUCUUAUGUACAUUUACAAUAAUAUAGAUUCAACUUUCAAGACUCUGAUACUUUGUUUUGUAAAAAAAUAUAAGUAAGUGACUAAGCUAAUAUAUUCUUUGAAAGUGUGAGAACAUUAACAAAUAUGAAAAAUCAUAGAUUUUUUUUCGUGACAAAGUUAAUAAUACUAUACUAAAAGGGAGAUAUAAACUAUGCUAUAUGUCGAUUUUUUACCUCCGGUUUGACUAUCUGAACCGGUGGCCCCAUAGGCUUCUAGUAUUCUUACAAAGAAAAAGUCGAAGCUUGGUCCACAAUAUAAAAUUCUAAUUCUCUGGCAAAAAAAAGAAGACCUUGUAAAUAAAUAUAAACAUGUGCCAUAUUUUUUAGUCACUCUAAAUGCUCAUCUUGGUAUCUAGGUGGAAAAAAGGGUACUGAACAAAAAAAAGGUGGAAAAAAGGGUAGGUGAAUUUUGAUUAUGUGCAACUUUUGUGGGCCCCUCCUUACUUAUACAGUUAUACCAAAUUAAAAAGAAUAAACAAAAAUAUUGUUUUGGUUCACAGUAAUUAAAGUCACUUUGAUAAAAACUUGGGGAACCUUUUGGACGAUCUUCUGUGAUCUUUUAUCUCUUUUUUUGGUCUCCACAUUCUUUUCUUCCUCCUUUGUUUUGUUAUAAAUAGCAUAUGAUUCAAGAAACUCGUCUCAUGCAACACUGAGCACAAGACUGUAGUAUUACAACAAAAACAAAAAACUCUUUUCUUCACCCAAAAGUGAGAUUUAUUUCAUGGGCUUUCAGUUUUAAAUAUCUUUUAAUCUAUUAGGGGGAAACAAAGGUGGAGUUUGUUUCUUCUUCUCCAAGAAACAAGCCCUAGAUUGAUUGAAACUUCCUUCAAGAAACCAUGGACAAAGUUGUGAGAAUGUCUUCAGAGAAAGGAGUGGUUAUAUUCAGCAAGAGCUCGUGUUGCCUGUCCUAUGCGGUCCAAGUCCUCUUCCAAGACCUAGGGGUUCACCCGACCGUCCAUGAGAUUGACAAAGACCCUGAUUGUCGUGAGAUCGAGAAAGCCCUCAUGAGGCUCGGGUGUUCCACGCCGGUCCCAGCCAUCUUUGUGGGAGGGAAGCUGGUGGGUUCGACCAAUGAAGUCAUGUCGAUGCACCUAAGCGGUUCGCUCGUUCCGCUGGUUAAGCCAUUUCAAGCUAGUCUAUGUUAAAAAGGUGUUCUAACUUUCUAAACUAUAAAGAGACAGUUCAAUAAAAAUCAACCAAAAAUAAUAAAAUCGUAUAGCUAGCUGAUUCAACCUUUGUAAUGUAGAUUUAUAAAUAUUGUGGGUUGUGGAUUUAUAAAGUUAUUAAAUAACUUUAUGGUAAUCUUUCAGGGGAAUAAUAGGAUAUUCCUUUUAUUAAUUAAUAUAUAAUAAUAAAGGGUUAUAAAUAGCAUUCGUAGCUAAAAUGUCUAAGACCACCCCACAGAGAAGAGAAUACAGAGUACAUAUAUUUCUACAGAUACAGAGUAAUUACAGACAAUGUUUGUCUUGUCUUGUUGUCUGAAUCACUACAAGAACAGAAUAACGGAGUGUUGUCGUUGUGUCUCACUUGAACUCCAAGACUUGUGGGUUUGGAUGAGUGUUGGAAAUAUCUGAUGAAGAAGACACUGAAGUGACAUUAAUAGGAUAUACCUCGGUUACUUCUUCAGUCUUCUCAUCAAAGUAGACCACAUCCUGCAUCGUUAGCUGGUGGUAUUCGACCACUCCUCUCAGGUAGAGAUUUUCGCGUGUGUAAAUCGAGUUCUCGUGAGCUAACCGAGCCUUCUCAGCCAGCAAUGUCUCAAGUUGAAGUCGCACCUAUAUAAGAUGAGAGACAAAAGACACAACCAAAUAUCAGAAUAUGCUAAAAAAGAUUGUUCACCUUUGUAAAAAGAAAGAGUAAAAGAGAUAUUCAUACAAGAUCAUCGUUAUCAGUUUGGCUGUUUUCGCCGCUAUGAUCCUCCCUCAGAACCUUGUUUUCUUCUUCAAGCUGAGCGCAUCGCUGCUUUGCAAAGGCCAGAUCAGACUUUACCAUCUUCAGCUCCCGGAGAAGAAGCUUUGCCUUGGCAGCCAUGGCCAUAGCAACCUGUUUUGACAUAAAAUCUAUUAACUCUUUUCUGAUUUCUAAACUCAAUAACCAGUAAAUGAAGAUAUCUUCGCUGCAGGCAGCCAAUAAAAAAAUGAUACAGAGCAGGCACCUUACGUCGCGAGAAGCCUUGAGUUGAAUCUCCAAAUCCGCUUGUAUCUCAGGGGGCUUCUGCUGGUUGGGCUUUUUCUUAAUCUUCUUACGUGUUUCUUGAAUGAUCCCUGCAGUACGUGUCUCCACAGCAGUAAUACCCUCCUAAAGAAAAUUCACAAGAAACUCUCAUUUAGUACAGUGAAAGAAGAUUGCAUAUGUCUCUUACCAGAACCAGAAACGAACCUCAACAGCAGUACCAAUGUAAUUAAAGGAAGAAGUGAUGGCAUCUAAGCUUCUCUGUAAGGAAGGAUUAUCUGUUUUCCUAGCAGCUUCCUGCAACAUGUUCUCAACUUUAAUAAGAACACUAUAAUAAAAUAAAAGGCUUUAUGAAUCAUCUCAAAAACCACCUUAGUUCCUGAAGGCGUGUCAAUUCUGGUGGUGGGACUUUGAGGAGGAUCCUCAUCAUCUAAAAGAGCCUUAGCUUUACUAGCGAGACUACCCCAAAAGCUUCGUUUAGGUUCGUUUAAACUCUUCAUAGACGUGUACUCAUACGGCUUCCUCACCACCUCCUAUUCAAAUUGAAAUAAAAAAAAAGAUCUCGCAUUUCGAAUUCGAAGCAAAACAUCAGAAAGAGACAAAAAGACGAAACCUUGGGGGGAGUGGGAACAGGAGGGGAAGAGUAGGCGGAGGAAAGAGAGGAGUCUCUGUGCGCUGAAGAUGCUCUAAUUGCCUUCGCGGCGAGGGACGACGCAGCAGAAGAUGAAGAUGAAGCCGAAGAAGAAGGAAACGACGAAGACGACGACAUCCUUGCCUUAUCUCGCGAAUUUUAGAUCAAAUCUCAAAUCUGAAAUCCUCAAUUCCUUUUGAUUUUGGAUCAGCCUCUCUCCAUGGAAUCAAAGUUUUCGAUUUUGGGGGUCGAUCUAGGGUUUUCCCUGUGAGAAUCAAAUUUGGUGUCCGUCAAACUCUAAACGCAACGGGUACGUAUCCGGUUAUUGAAUUGGUUUUCAAAUAUUUAUUAAACCGGUUUCCCCCCUUAAAUAGACUUCAUUUAUAUUCAUCCGGUUUAGUGGACAUGAUUUGGUCCACUUGAUUUUGUAGUCCAUGUUUUGUUCUCCUGAUCCAACCAGUAAUUGCAACGACUGAUUCAUUAAUGAAACUUGCAUCCAAGGUACAUCUUAAUAUAUAGACCUCGACUCCUUUUUAAACUAAGCCUGUUCAGUCAGAUGAAUUGUAACGACGUAUAGAACCAAAAAAACAACCUGAUUCUUUUUUUUUCUCAAACCAGAAAAAUUUGACCUGACUAUAUUGAGACUGACCUGAAAUUUUGUAGACACAGCACAGAUCUAGUUGCUCAAAAAAAAAAAAAAACAGCAUCAAAAAACAUUUACGAGACUGCUUAUCAUGUCUGUCGAUAUAUACUAUCUGCAACGAAUAAUCGUCACUUAAAAAUAAUUGAACAUUUCUUAUAACAAAAUCGUUUCUGAUGCAUGCUGCUAGUAGCAUACACAUGACAUGACAUGACCGUACAGAAAGAUUGACAUGCAGCACACACGAGUUCUAACUCUAUGUUUGUGUGCAUGUAUUAUUAGGCUUCUUGGCAUUGUAUCAAAUGGCCUUUGCAACAACUAGUUUGGUUUCAAGGUCAAGCACUACUCUAGCAGUCUCCUUGUUAUGUUCACCCCAAGCUUUUGUGUUUGAUUUGUUUCUUUCUUGGUCAAAUUCAUCAAGCUAGUUUUUCUCGUAAGGAUAUAUUCAUACCGUUGACUCUAUAUAUCCGAAUACAUGCAACCCUUCCCUAACCAUAUAUAAGUAUAACGGAUAAGAGAUAACACAGAUGAAAGCGAGAUGUUCUAAACUCCGUUGGCGUUACUUGACAAGACGAAAUUAGUGACUAAGUGUGUGAACUGGAAGAAGCGAGAUUAGGGAUAUUGACGUAGACAUUGGGCUUUCUGACAAAUAACCAACUUUGGCCAAAAUUGUUCAUUAGUGGUUUUCAUUUUGUUUUCUAUAGCCUCUGUUUCAUGUCUCGUCGGUUAGGUCGAUCGGGACCAUUGCUCAUUAUUACACAGCACACAAAAGAAAGAAAAAGAUGGUCUCCUAAAUCUGAAAUUGCAUAUCCAUAACCAGAUAAGAAUAUUAUCUUCUGCUUCAGUUUUUUUUUUAAUAUCUUAUUGGCUCUUCCGGCCAGCUCAGGUAGAAACGCAUAAUAUUUAGUGUUACAGUGCAAACUUUUUUUCGAAAAGCUAUCACAUUGUUUUACUCAAGUUUGAAAUGUUUAAAUUUAAAUAAUAGUCGGAUCGCUUAUUAUUUUUUUUUCCUAAAAAUUAAAUAUCAUAUAAAUGAAAGUUUAGAUUUUACAAGAAAGAAAAAUUCUAUUUUUUGUUACACCUUGGCAAAAAAAGCUAAAAAACAAGGUAGCAACCCGAAUGAAGAUGAGCCCGACUAAUUUCCACGUUCAACGCAUCCACUUAGCCAUAAGUUUGAGGAAGUACUUCCUCUCUCUUCUAGCAGUGAUGGUGUUUCACACCUCUUUGUCAAUGAAUCUGAAGACUGUUUCCGGUGCACGGCAAGGUUGUUGUGCAAGACAUUGUUUCUUUGUUUCCGGAUCGCUUAUUAUUAGACUAUCAGAUAAACUGUCGAGACUAAAACUCAAUCCCAAACUUCCCACACAACUGUGAUUUUGAUUUAGAAGAGGCUCAAAUUCCGGAGAAUGUUUUAUCACAUUCUCAUGUCUCGCCUAUCACUUUACCAAAACCAUGCAGGCAACUUCAUGAUUUUACUACCUAAUGAAACUUAAAAUAAAACAGCAAUCGUAAGAUGUAACUAUUAUGGUAGAAAAUGUUGAUUGAAACUAGACGGCAUUACAAAAAAAUAUCAGAUGACAAAGAAAAAACUAGACGGCACUACAGGUCAGGGAGUUUGUACUUUUGUUAAUAGAUCAUAGCAGCAUCCUCUAUGGUCCAACCCAAAUCCUAAUACACACAUUUUUACUUUGAGUUUCGUUAGACUAAUACAAUUUACUCCACUUUCUUUUUUUCAUCUUUUUCACCUCCUUUUUUCUUCCAUACUAGUAUAUUAGUAUAUUACUCUUGAAAAUACUAAGAGCACUUCCAACCUUAAAGAUGCUAACUUGAAGUUCUUAUUAUAAAGUAUUAAUAUUUUUAAUUUAAAUUAGUUAUGUAUUUAAAUUUAAAUUUUAAAAGCACAAUUGACCAAAUUGAUUGAUAUACACAUGCUUAUCCGGUUCUUGCAUGUGUUUGUUUUAGAACCUUUUCAAUUUCUCUUUUUUUUUGUGUCAGAGAACUCCAUUUUAAAACCAUUGAUGGAGGUGCUCAAUCAGAGCCAUAGUGUCUAAAAACGAGUGUCACCGGCAGAACAUUAUAGAGCAACUAGGCGAUGUGGAGACGUUAGAUAUCUUAAAGGGGGUUAUGGAUACGUGUAUUAGCAUUAUUGGAGGACAAAAGGGAAACUGGAUUCUGAAGGAUUAUUUGUUGACGUAGAAAAGACAUGCACAACGAGAUUUAAGAAGGAUCACCACCACGUAUUGAACUAGGCCUACCCAUGAUAUGUUCCUACUUUUCCUAACUUCUACUGGCUCUCACAUCUCUAAUUGUACAUCCAUUUCACUAUUUUUAAUAUAAUUUCUUUCUGUCAAUUAUUCACAUGCUUAGCUUUUUAUUUCAUUUUAAAUGUUUUUAAUCAUUUAAUAGAUUAUAUUAAACAUCAGAAGUACACCAACCAACAAAAUGAUUCUGGAGCCAAAAGUGGACAAGGAUCGAAAUCCCUCGGAGAACAUUUAAGAACCCCCAAUAAACAUGCUCUUAGAAAUGAGCAUACUCCUACCAAAACGUAACGAUUAAGAGACAAACAAACCAAACCGUAGAAAACCCUAAAAAACAGAGAUUAAGUAAAAGAAUACUCAAACUUUCUACGAGAUUUUAUAUAUGCAUUCAACAUUGUCUUCCUUUAAUUCAAAUAUUUUAGGCUUUUUACACGUGAACUCUUUUUAUUAUAGUUUUUACUUUCUCAUUAACCCAGCCAAAAGAACGAUUUUGUUUUUCAUCUUUGGCCUAUUCACUCUACAAAUUGCUCUCAAUAAACCAAAUGAAUGUUAUUGAGUAAUAUGCUAGAUGCCGAUUAGAUCUUAUUUUAGGCAUAUAAUAUUGGUUAUAUAAUAUUGAAUUUAUAUGAUAUAAUUUUUUGAAAAAAACACUAUGAGAUGAAAUUACAUAUCUUAAAUAAAAAUUAUUAUAUAUUUCACUAUAUUAAUUUAAAAUUCAUGCAACGUACGAACAAUACUUACUGAUCUAAUAUUAUUAGUAUAGAGUAUAGAUUGGUGGUGAAAAUUAAUCUACUAAGCAUGUUGUAGACAAAUAUAAAAAUUUAAUGAUAUGCUGAUAACUUUCUAACAAACAAUACAAUAGAUGUAAAAUGUUAUCGAGUCAACAACCCAUUCGUAUUAUCAAGAGAAUCCAAUUAGUCUAUUAUCAACUGGUUGGAAAACGUACUUACGUUUAUGAAAGGUAGAAACUCUCAGUUGCCUAAAACAGCAGCCAGUGCAAGUAUAUCCAAAUAGGGAAAAGUUACAAGAAGCAUGGUGAAAACGACGAAGAAGACCAACACAAAGAUAUGAUUGAUUUAACUAAAAGAGAUAAUACCGAAACAACACAACCAAACGACAAAUUAAAACAUUAGAAAAAGAAGAAAAAGGGGAGACCAACGUUAAAUAAUUUUCAAUAUAUAGACACUCAACUAUUAUUGCUCCAUCGUCUCUUUCACUACACAUCCAAUAAAAAUGGCUACUGAAGGGAAAACCCCCAUCAACAUUAACACAAUGUCUUCAACUCUUCAGAGAACAGGUCAAUGGUACGAUCCGGUCCAGUUUCAUCUAAAUAUUAUCCGGCUCGGUUCAUCUCCCCCUAAUCAUAUGAAUUUCUGACUUGUAUAUGCGUUGUUAAUUCAGGGUUUUCUCACAAGAUAUUCCGACAGAUGUUGUAGUUGAAGUCGGAGAAGCUAAUUUCUCUCUUCAUAAGGUAACAAAAAUUCGUUUGUAUAUAUAAAAGAAGCAAAUUCGUUUGUAUAGAUAAAAAUUUUCUUUUUGUUUUGUCGUCUAUAACUCAUACAAACGAAUUGAAAGUACUGAGCUAUGAGUUUGUUAUACGAUAUGAGACAUUAGUACAAAUUAUUACUUUACAGGUACAUGCCUAGGUCAAAAAUGGUUAAUAACAACAUGAGUUUCUAUUUAUAAUUUCCUUUUAAUCUCAUGUAGUUCAUGCUAGUGGCGAAGAGCAACUACAUAAGGAAGCUAAUAAUGGAAUCCAAAGACAGUGACGUGACGAGAAUAGAUCUCUCGGAUAUCCCCGGAGGUGCUGAGAUGUUCGAGAAAGCUGCUAAAUUCUGUUACGGUGUUAGCUUUGAAAUCACCGUCCAGAACGUGGCGGCUCUUCAAUGCGCCGCUGAGUUUCUUCAGAUGACUGACAAGUACUGCGACAACAACCUCGCUGGUCGGACACAAGACUUCCUUUCUCAGGUCGCUCUCUCUAGCCUCUCCGGAGCCAUCGUGGUCCUCAAGUCUUGCGAGAUACUCCUUCCUAUUUCUCGUGAUCUUGGUAUUGUCCGCCGUUGUGUGGACGUUGUCGGUACUAAGGUUUUAACUCGUAAUUCAUUCUCAUUUGCUUUCUAAGUGUUAAACUUAGAUCCUGGUUUUGGUUAGUGUUUAGUAAUGUUCAAUAAAAUCUUUAUAUUUAGGCGCUUUAUAGAGGAUUAACAUUUAGGCGGACCUAGACACGCCGCCGCAUAGACCGAUCGAUCUAAAUUUUUUUGUUUUGUUUAUGGCCGAUUUGCUAUCUAAAGAGUUUUUAAAAACAUUGAUGUUUAGGUUAAGUUUUAUAAUUCCAAGUUUUACAUAGUAGUAACCAAAAUACACGCCACUCUAGAAUCCAUUAACCAUAAGGUUCUAAACUUAAGAAAAUUGAUAUUAAUAAAAUUUUGUUAUUGAAUUAAUUUUUAUCUUAAAAAAAAAAGCUUAGGUUGCCACAUGACAUUAUAAUUUCUUAAAGAGUAUUUUUUUCUGUAAAUAGGCUUUCAAUUUUAAAAAGGUACAAGAAUUUCUCAAGAGUAUCUUAUAAGUUCUUUUUGAGAAACUCUUGUUCUCUCUACUAAAUUUUUUUUUUCUCGAUUACUUAGAUACUCACUAAAUAUCUAUGGAUGAAAGUGCUCUUAUGAUUUACAUUAAUUACUACGUUGUAAUUUUUAUUCGCUUUCAAUGUCAAAAGUGAAUUAAUUAACCGUGCUAGAGUUUACAAUCAUACAGUAAUUACUACGUUGUAAUUUUUAUUCGCUUUCAAUGUCAAAAGUGAAUUAAUUAACCGUGCUAGAGUUUACAAUCAUACAGUAAUUACUACGUUGUAAUUUUUAUUCGCUUUCAAUGUCAAAAGUGAAUUAAUUAACCGUGCUAGAGUUUACAAUCAUUUUCGUAUAAGCUAUUUAGAUUUGGUUUCGGUUCGGUUUGAUUCGGUUCAACAUAUCUUUGUUCAGUUCCUUGAGUCUCACGUAUCAAUUAUGCAAGAUAGGUUUGCCUCCAUUAGUUUUUGUAGUGCUUAUUACAUAAACUAAUUUGUGUUAUAUUUUCAUUAUUUAUUUAUGUUUUGAAAAGGCUUGCGACGAGGCAAUGUUACCGUGCCGAUCACCACCGAACUGGUGGACAGAGGAGCUCUGUAUCUUAAACAUCAACUUCUUGGCCGACGUCUUAGCUUCCAUGAAGCAGAAGGGCCUCAAGCCAUCUUCCUUAGCCUCCGCAAUCAUCACCUACACCGAGAGAUCCUUAAGAGACCUCGUCAGAGACCAUUCCGGCAGAGGAGUCAAGUUUUCCGAUCCCGAGAACAACGACUCCGAGGAGAGAACUCAACAGAGACAUCUCGUGGAAUCAAUCGUCUCUCUCUUACCUUCAGACAAAGGACUUUUCCCGAUCAACUUCCUCUGUUCUCUCCUCCGUUGCGCCGUCUUCUUGAACACUUCACUCGCAUCCAAGAACGAAGUCGAGAAAAGAAUCUCCGCCGUUCUUGAACACGUCACCGUCGAUGAUCUCUUGGUACCUUCUUUCACCUACGACGGCGAGAGACUAUUAGAUCUAGACAGCGUCAGAAGAAUCAUCUCUGCUUUCGUCGAAAAGGAGAAAAGCAAAAAAGGGUUAUGUUCUGUCUCGCUACAAAGAGUUGCGAAGACCGUUGACUCCUACUUAGCAGAGAUCGCUACUUGCUUGGAGCUCACGGUAUCCAAGUUCAACGCGAUAGCAAACCUAGUUCCCAAGUCCGCUAGAAAGUCAGAAGACGAUCUUUAUAGAGCGGUAGACAUCUUCUUGAAAGCUCAUCCGAGCCUAGGCGAGAUCGAAAGAGAGAAAGUUUGUAGCUUAAUGGAUCCUCUCAAGCUUUCUUGCGAUGCACGUCUUCAUGCUUCGCAGAACAAGAGGUUACCAGUGAACAUCGUUCUUCACGCUCUUUACUACGAUCAGUUAAAGCUAAGAAGCGAGGUUGAAGACAAAGAAGGAACACCAGUUAUAGUCCCUGAGGCUUUAGGGACACGUGAUAGUUCGUUGGCUAAAGAGAACGAAGAUUUGAGGAGUGAGCUGAUGAAGAUGAAGAUGUAUGUUUCGGAUCUACAAAAUAAUGUUGCAGCAGGAGCUUCUUCUUCGAAUGCACCGAGUAAUAAGAAGAACAGCAAACAUACUUUCUUCUCGUCUGUUUCGAAGAAGCUGGGGAAGUUGAAUCCAUUUAGACAUGGGUCUAAGGAUACUUCUAAUAUUGAUGAGGAUCUUGAUGGUGUUGAUAUUACAAAGCCAAGAAGACGAAGAUUCUCAAUAUCUUAAGGAAACGUUUGAUCAGUAACUUUUGAGUUUUGUGUGUGUGUGUGUCUGUGUGUUUGUAAGUCAAUUUGAAAGAGAGCUAGUUAGUAAUCACUUUUUCUUUGUAAAGAGAAACUUUCAUUAUUAUUUUGUUAUAGUAUUUUGUGAAAUAAACUAAACAUAAAUCUUAUACAUGUUAUUCUUUAUCUUGCAUUUUCAUAAAUAACAUAAUUUGAGGAAUCAUACAGAAUAAUCAAUAUGGAUCACAUGUCUUGAUUNNNNNNNNNNNNNNNNNNNNNNNNNNNNNNNNNNNNNNNNNNNNNNNNNNNNNNNNNNNNNNNNNNNNNNNNNNNNNNNNNNNNNNNNNNNNNNNNNNNNAUUUGACUUUUUCAAUUUUCUAUGUAAAAUUUAUUACUAACUAAUGCUAGAUAACCAAUGAUAUUAUAGUUUCUAUUUUAUUAUUGAUUAAAUUAUGGUUAGGUAAACAAUUAAUGAUGUUUUUGUUUACAAAAUUAAAUAUUUUUUAAUCCAUGUGCACGAUCCUAAAGCGUCAGAUAUAAAAAACAGACUUUUUCUUGGGUUCACCCCCUAGGUGAACCUUUAGGUUCACCAACCAAUAGAAAAUUGUCAUUUUAGAUCUAGUAUCUUUUAAUUAAGGAAACAAAAUAACUUGCCAAAUUAUAUUAUGUUUUUAAAAUAAAAAAUAAAAAAUUAAAUAAAUAAAAAUAACAAUAGUUCUAAAAAAAGAUUAUUUAAAAAAAAUAUUUAUUUUUAAGAUUUAGAGUUUAGUGUUUAAGAUUUAUAAUUUAGAAUUUAUCCAAAUGUUUAGUAUUUUUCCAAGGGUUUAGGGUUUACCUAAGGGUUUAGGGUUUACCCAAGGGUUUAAGGUUUACCCAAGGGUUUAAGGUUUUCCCAAGGGUUUAGGGUUUAGGAUUAGAGUUUAGGGUUUAGUGUUUUGUUGACAACAUGUUUAGUAUUUUUCCAAGGGUUUAGGGGUUUACCCAAAGAUUUAGGGUUUACCCAAGGAUUUAGGGUUUAGGAUUUGAGUUUAGGGUUUAGUAUUAGAGUUUAGGGUUUAGUGUUCUGUUGACAACAUUAUUUUUUUUUAAUUCGUUUUUUAUAUAUUAUUUUUAUUUAUUUUUAAAUUUUAUUUUGAAAAGAUAAUAUAAUUUGCCAAGUUAUUUGGUUUCCUUAAUUAAAAGAUACGAGAUUUAAAAUGUCAAUUUUCUAUUGGUUGGUAGGGGGUGAACCCAAGAAUAACUCUAAAAAACAGAGGCAGUAUAAGUUUUCACAAGUUUUUGAAUUUUUGGAACUAACACCUUUUUGUUAUAUUUUGAGAUUAACAUUGAUAUUAUAUAUUGAUGCAUAUAAAGAGCAAGUAAAAAUUAAGAGGAAAAAACUGUGAUCAUUUGGAAUUUUUGAGUGUUUUUUUCAAUGUGUUAGAUUUGUAUGAGUUUGAAAGAUUAGAAAUAAAAAGAAAUAGAAGAGGACAAACCAGGUGCUUGAAUCGUAACCAGCAAUUGUCGCCACCUUCUCCAAAGCCUGUCUCCAUUUUUCAGUAUCCUCCUUACUUUUACCCUGGCAAGUUUUUUCGAAAACUUUCCCAGAAUAUCCUCUCAGCUUCUUUACAUGAGAUGGAUCUACUUUAUAGAAAACGGGGAUUACGGUUUGGCCUAACUCUUCUUGAAAUAAGUUUGCUAUUACACUAAUCUUGUGGUUUUUUCUCCCAUGACCUCUUAUCUAGGCUCAUAAUCUUAGUUUUUUUCCUAAGUUAAUGAUUUUUGCAUUUUUAAUAUUUAGCUUGAAAUUCAUGUAAACGUAAUUAUUCAUUGUUAUUGGCUAUGAAAUCCACCGUGUGAUUUUUGCAACAAAACUCUAGUUCUUAACAAAUAAGGAGUCUAUGAUAAAUCAAAGUGAAACAAAACCACAUAAAGAAAAGAUAAAUCACUUGUCAAUUGUAUUUUAUCAUUCAUUGUUAUUUAUCGCUGCAAUCUUCCACAUCAUUAGUAAAGUAAUGAUUUUUGGUGCGCCAUAAACAAAUAAUCCACAAACUUUUGUUGAUUACUUGUUUACAUCAACUGUGAAAUCAACAAUGGUCACUUCAUUUUGAGAAAUGGGAAAUACAUGCGAUGACAUAAGCACAGCUAGCUACUUGAAACUCCUGUUUUAGCUGGUGCUUAUCCAUUUUGGUCCAACAAAGCAAAGCAAUGAACAUGAUAGAUGUCAUAGCGAAGAAGCUGCAGUUCAUUCAAACAAAGAGAUGAGAUGCUUUAGUCUACCAAUCAAUCGGCUCUGUAUUUGUGUGUUAUGCAAGGAGAAAGAGAAAUAACUUGUUUUAUCUCUAGACACCGUUUCUCAUCCUCUACGUGUAGUUUUAGUGAAUUGCAGAGACUGCAUUUAGGUGAGUAAAACUCACGAAUAGUAGCCUCUUCAACGCAGCUGUGAACUCUGGGGAUGCGAGUACUUGUGUGUUGCUUUCCUAAUCUGAUUAUAACUUUAUGCCAACUUUAGUUAGUUGAUAAUCGUGUGUUCAUAAACUUGAUGUGUUGUUUUUAUAAUAAACUGUAAACAAGAUUGCAGGGAAUGUAAAACAGGGAUAUAGCUGAACAUGCCAACCAUGGCCCUCUAUAUCUGAGAAUGUUAGGAAAAAUGCUCAGUAAGGAUUCCAAGAAAAGAAUCUCUGCAGCACAAGCGAGAAGUUCUCUCUGGUGGAACAGAUAAAAUAUAGACUGAGAAGUUAACUAGAACAAUAUUAUGAGACAACAGAGAUGAGUUGGAGUCAACCAUGAAAGAAUGCUUUAAGUGGCAUCUUCAAUCAGUUGAGAUAGAUUUCACUCAACGAGUAGGAAACAAAGGUUGCUGAUAAAAAUUGUUUCCUUGAUAUUUAAGAUAAACAAUGGAAUGCAUUACUAUAUUUUAUGCACAUGCGUACAUAAAUAUAGUUGCCGUUACAUUUUACGCAAACCAAACAUAACACAAUGAUAAUCUUACACACAUACCGCAAAAUGCGAAAUGUUUCUUCAGCUUCCAUCAACAUGAGAGAGCUAAGCUUUCUAGAGGACGUAGUCCGCAUUCUUUAAUCUCCCAGUUUUCUUUUUUGAACCUGAACUCAAAGACUAAUUCGGGGGAAGUCACAGUUUCUUCAAAUUCGAUUACGACCAGAUGCUCAGAACGUGGACAGAGUGGGAACCAUAUAUGAGUAUAUGCUGGGAAAACACCGACAUCCCUCAGUUUGCCAUUGAUGCAAUAAGAUAUAUCCGACCUGUACCAAUCCGCAGGCCCAACGUCGUCAGGGUUAGUAACCAGCAAGAGGCAAGCUUUGAAUCUCAAGGAUGUAGGAAAAUGUGUAUCGAAUCCAUUCAGUUUCAUUGACACUGAACUCCCCGUGGCUCUGUAACUGAAAUAAUAUGCAGGCACCGUUUCUCCGGGAAAGAUCGCCCAUCUUUCUAUCGAUGUCUUGAGAAUAAGGUCUACUGCUUCUCGAUUCAGUUUGAGGCAGUUAACAAAGCGAAGAUCACUCAGCUUUGUCCUGUAAAAAGAGCAAUCUAGUCUCUCGAGGGACUCACAGUUUUCUACAUGCAUGAAUUUUAAUGAAUCUGGAAGCUGUGGGAGCGAAACCAGCUUUGUGCAUCCGUUGAUUACAAGUGUUUGUAGACGAGACAUUUCUUUUACCAAUGGAGAAAUUUCUUGAAUUCCUGUGUGGCUCAAGUGAAGAUUCGUGAUGAGGUCAAAAGCAUGAUGCGAUUUCCUUAGGUUUUCACUGUAUGACAUGUCUAAGGUAUCAAGACGAGACCAUGACCUGAUUGAUGUUGGAAUUUCUUCAAUAGCAGUUCCUAUGAUUCCUAGAAACCUAAUGUUUGUGGAAAUCUCAGGAAAGCUCCACAAGGAAGGGCCAUUAACGUUGAUGUUCAAGAAAAUCAAGAGAUUUCAUGUUGAUGUUCACUGGAAGGGCCAUUAACGUUGAGCAAUUUCUGAGAUUCAACUUCUUCAAAUUAUGAAGAUUCCCAAUAGAAGAGGGGAGCUCCACAAGGCUUGAACAUCCUUUGAGAUCCAAAUUCUCAAGAUUAGUCAUAUUCCCAAUAGAAUAGAAUAAGGGAGCUCCACAAGGCUUGAGCAUCCUUUGAGAUCCAAAUUCUCAAGAUUAGUCAUAUUACCAAUAGAAGAGGGAAGCUCCACAAGGCUUGAGCAUCCGUACAAAUACUUAGCCGUCAUAGAAUAGGGGAGCGCCACCGAGAGAAACAACUUUUUGAGAUUAGUCAUAUUUCCAAUUGAAAAAGGGAGUCCCACAAGGUUUAAGCAUCCAGAGAGAUCCAAAUUCUCAAGAUUAGUCAUGUUACCAAUAGAAGAAGGGAGUUCCAUAAGGCUUGAGCACAGCAUGAGAUUCAAUUUCUUGAGAUUAGUCAAAUUCCCAAUAGAAGAAGGAAGCUCCACAAGACUUGAGCAAUUCUCGAGAUCCAGUUCUCGGAGAUUUGUGGCAGUUGAAAGAUUAGGAAGCUCCUUUAGAUUUAUGGAAUGAGACAAAUCCAUCCACUUGAGAUUUUUAAUCGUCUGUACAGAUAAACAAAAUGCAUCAUUAAGAAAAAGACGAUCCUCAGUUAAAGCAUAUUAUUUAGAAAUAUAUACAUAUUUGUACUUACUUUAUUUCCUUCCCACAAUUUCUCAAGGUUGCUACAACUCAUUUUUAUUUCCAUUAGGAGCUCCGGAUUAAAAUUAGAAGGCAGACAUGUCAUCGGGAAUGUGCUCCAAUGCAGUAAUCUAACUUCUCGAGGUAGACAGUUCACACUUUCUAAUAUGUAUUGACUAUUUGUUCGUACGAGUAUAAUAUGCUCAACAUAAUGACUAUCAAGUCUUAAGAAUUGGAGAUUGGACAUUCUUUCAAAGGCUUGGUCGCUUAUCUUCAACUCCUUCUCCAACAAAAAGUUUAUUCCUAUAACACUUCGACUACCCUGAAAAAAAACCCCCAAAGAUACAUAAGCAAACAUGAUUUGUUAUAACAUUUUCUAGGGAGAAAUGCUGAGAACGACCAAUGUGAACACUUACUAGUGUAUCAUCACGUAGUACUUGGCGUAUAUCUCCAUCAUCAACCAAAAACUGACGCUGCCGAGGUUCGUUAGGGGAUUGUUUACGAACAAUUUCCCUACCCAAACGUGCUAGCAAAUCAUGCAUCCUUAUAUAUCCUUCUGAGUCGACGGAUAUGAGAGAUUUCUCAGCUAAAACACGAAGACGACAUUUAACAGCAACAAAUUUCUCUGCAAGAAACUCUUCUACUUUGUCAAUCCGUUCACCGUUGAAAAGGCAGGCUAUGUGAAGAAACAAAGCUUGAUCUUCAUCGCAUAAGGCAUCAUAGCUGAACUUUAAAAUACUUUCUGUUUCACUGUCAAGUCUAGUUCUUAACCUUGUUAGCUCUUGUUCCCACUCCUUCGUGGUCAAUCCUUUGAAAUGAGAUCCCAUAACACUUAAACACAAAGGGAGUUUACCAGCAAGGUCUGUAACUUUGCAAGCAAGGUCCCCAAAACCAUCGUACGGAGAUUUUUGACCAAAAGCGUUCAUGCAGAAGAUUUCAAGUGCCUCAUCAUCACGAGGAAAAUCAACCUUGUAAAUAUGGUUGAUCUGAUGUGCAUUCAAAAUUCUUUUAUCUUGCGUUGUAACAAUAAUCCGACUUCCACUGCCAAACCAGCAAGUUUCUUUCGCCAAGGCAUCUAGUUGCGCUGAGUGAUCCACGUCAUCGAGAACAGCUAACACUUUCUUAUUUUUUAGCCGGUCUUGUGCAACUCCUAAAUGAUGGAUAGUGACAUCAUUCUGAUUGAGUAUUAGAGACAAGAACUUAUUUUGUAAUUGCAGUUGUGCGCUGUAUCUAUCAAAACAAGGUCUUGGAUACUCUCUUUUGAUAUUCUCCAUGAAGACGCUAAGUUGAAAGUCAGGAGAGUGUUGGCUAAAUAGAGAUCUGGCGAUGGUGCUCUUACCAAUUCCAGACGGACCCCAAAUCCCUAUCAUCCUCACCUCAUUGGAAUCCAAGCGUAAGAGCAGAUCCAUAUUUUCCAUGUGAGCUCUCAUCCCAACUAAGCUGUUAAAAUCACUUGAUGGAACAGAACUAAUCAGCUUGUUUGAAACAUCUGUGGCUAUUUCCUCAAUCAUGGCCGCUUCAUUAUCCCUAAACAGAGGAAAGAUAAUACAUCGGCUCAAACGGUUUCCAAAUAAGAGUUGUUUGGCUGGAAAUAUGCUGUGUGCAAUUCUCAAGAAUGUCACAUUGCAUGUUUUUAUACACAAAUUUUUGGAUGAUGUUAAAUACACAAAACUCUUAAAUUAAAAAUUAAGCAACUCUAUUUGAAUUCACGCUCCCAAUAUCUCUUCAUUAAAUAACCAAAUAUGUUCAAAAUUUAGAGAAUGGUAUAAGUUUUCACAAAUUAACCCACACACCGAAACACACCGUUUUGAGUUUUCUCUCUAGUGAGCGAUUCUGAGGCGAUUUGGAGCUAGGGUUUUGAGGAUGGAUUCGGCUGCGCCACCGGGUUCUCCUGUCUCUCCGACGAGGGAUAGGAUGGUUACGGAGGUUCGCGACGAGGGUUCUACGGUGGGGAAGUCAGAUCUACCUACCAUUCCGAAGCUUGGGCUGAGUUGGGUGUUUGCUGCCCAAGAUUGAGUAUUAGAGACAAGAACUUAUUUUGUAAUUGCAGUUGUGCGCUGUAUCUAUCAAAACAAGGUCUUGGAUACUCUCUUUUGAUAUUCUCCAUGAAGACGCUAAGUUGAAAGUCAGGAGAGUGUUGGCUAAAUAGAGAUCUGGCGAUGGUGCUCUUACCAAUUCCAGACGGACCCCAAAUCCCUAUCAUCCUCACCUCAUUGGAAUCCAAGCGUAAGAGCAGAUCCAUAUUUUCCAUGUGAGCUCUCAUCCCAACUAAGCUGUUGAAAUCACUUGAUGGAACAGAACUAAUCAGCUUGUUUGAAACAUCAGUGGCUAUUUCCUCAAUCAUGGCCGCUUCAUUAUCCCUAAUCAGAGGAAAGAUAAUACAUCGGCUCAAACGGUUUCCAAAUAAGAGUUGUUUGGCUGGAAAUAUGCUGUGUGCAAUUCUCAAGAAUGUCACAUUGCAUGUUUUUAUACACAAAUUUUUGGAUGAUGUUAAAUACACAAAACUCUUAAAUUAAAAAUUAAGCAACUCUAUUUGAAUUCACGCUCCCAAUAUCUCUUCAUUAAAUAACCAAAUAUGUUCAAAAUUUAGAGAAUGGUAUAAGUUUUCACAAAUUAACCCACACACCGAAACACACCGUUUUGAGUUUUCUCUCUAGUGAGCGAUUCUGAGGCGAUUUGGAGCUAGGGUUUUGAGGAUGGAUUCGGCUGCGCCACCGGGUUCUCCUGUCUCUCCGACGAGGGAUAGGAUGGUUACGGAGGUUCGCGACGAGGGUUCUACGGUGGGGAAGUCAGAUCUACCUACCAUUCCGAAGCUUGGGCUGAGUUGGGUGUUUGCUGCCCAAGAUAAAAAGGUGUUGAAGAAGUUCAAUGUUGAGAUCACUAACAGGGAUGGUCUUCAUUCGGUGGUGAUUCCGGAGGAGGCUCUAGCGAAUCAAACUCCUUUGUGGGAGGACUUUGUCGUCGGAAAGUUUCUGGACAUCUCCCCCCACAUUGCUAAGGUCCAUAUGGUUUUAAACAAGAUUUGGAAGUAUGGGGAGGUUGCUGCGAAGGUGGAAGUGUACGAAGUAAAUGCGACAACUAUGAGGUUCAGGGUUCCAAAUCCAAAAGCUAGGGAGAAGAUCCUGAGGAAAGGUAUGUGGAGUAUCGCAGGUGUACCAAUGGUGGUGACAAAGUGGACUCCGAGGGCGGAGGAAGAAAAGCAGGAAGAGGAGUCCAUUCCAAUGUGGGUUCAUCUCCGUAGGGUUCCGCUUCAUAUGUUCUCCUGGGAAGGUCUCGGGUUCAUUACGAGUGCAGUGGGCUUCCCGGUAAAGUUACAUCCAGAGACGUUAGCUUGCUCUAACUUUGAAGAAGCAAAAGUCUUUGCUAAGGUUGAUGUCUCUAAGGCCCUCCCCAAAGUCAUCAACUUUACAAAGAACGGGAAAGAGUUUGAGGUGGACUUUCAGUUUCCCUGGCUCCCUGACAGAUGCAAGUUAUGCGACAAGUGGGGACACAUGGAGGAGGUCUGUAAGAUGAAAGAGAAGGAGAGUCAGUGGGAAAGGGUUGAGCACUGACUUAGAAAAGGUGGUUGAAGGUGAUCUAGUUUCAACUAAGCAGCUGGAGAGUUCGAAAGAUGAAUUUGCUCAGAUAAGUAAAGGGGGGAUAGUUGAGAAGAGUUUGGAAGCUGAUACACAAAAAGAAGAGAACCCAGCGGGGGAGAAGGUAGUUGUUACUUCAGAUGAGACAAGUAGCUGGGCGUUAGUCUCACCUGCGAAAAUGGGAAGGUCUCCGGUAAGGAUCAGACAGAGGUUCUUCACAUUUCAGCUUCAAAAUUCGCAGUCUUGAGUGUUGAAGAAGAACGAGAGGACGGGGAAAUACCACAUGAAAGCCACCAGUGUGUUAAUGAAGAGGCUCACUUAUCCAAGGAGAGUACGGAUGUUGGAAGCGAGGCAGUCGAUGAGGGUAUCACUAUUGCUAAGGUAGUUGAGGAGCAGUCAAGUAUGGUUCAAGAGGUAGAUGAACAAAGUGAACCAAGUACAACAAGGGGGUCCAGAAGGAAGAAAGCUAAGUCACAGAAUGCAACUUCGGUGACUAUGAGCACCAGGUCUUCCCUCCGUCAUUAAUAUGUCGAGCUUCUUUUGGAAUGUGUGCGGAUUCAACAAACCAUUGAAACAUUCCGUGAUGAAAGAGUGGCUCAGCAAUAAGGAUAUGAAGUUUGGUUGUAUUUUGGAAACAAGAGUAAAGGAGGGAAAGGCAGGAAGGAUUUUGGGUUCGGUGUUUAAGGAUUGGUCUUCGAUGACCAACUACGAGCACAGUCAGGGAGGUAGAAUUUGGUUGCUGUGGAGAGACACUGUUCGGAUGACUCCAGUGUACAAGACUGAUCAGCUGAUCACUGUCUCUGUCUCUUUGGAAAAUGAGGAAGAGUUUUUCUCUACAUUUGUCUAUGCUAGUAAUGAGGUGGAAGGCAGGAAGCAGCUGUGGGAAGAUCUAUGUCACCAUCAUGACUCUCCUCUAUUUCAAAACAAAGCGUGGUUGAUUAUGGGGGAUUUCAACGAGAUACUUGAAAUGGGAGAGCACUCGGGGGGUGAUAGUCUGCUUCGAGCUCCGAAUGGUAUGAGGGAUUUUCAGAGGAUGGCUCUCCACUGUCGUCUCUCAGAUAUGGGGUAUCAGGGGCCUUUAUUCACCUGAUGUAAUAAAAGAGAAGAAGGAUUGAUCUGUAAGAAGCUUGAUAGGGUCCUUAUAAACGAUGUGGCAAUGGUUAAGUUUGCGAAUGCAUAUUCAGUGUUUGCACCUGGCGGCUGCUCUGACCACAUGUGGUGUCAGAUUCACAUCCUUCAGGGUGUGGAGAAGAUCAGACGACCGUUUAAAUAUGUAAAUGCUUUAGGAAGGUUGCCAAGCUUUCUACCUAUGGUGAAGGAGUACUGGGAGUCGACGGACGUGCUCUUCCAUUCUACUUCAGCUAUGUACCGGUUUUCUAAGAAGCUUAAAAAUCAAAAGCCAAUGAUCAGGGAACUUGGUAGAGAAAAGCUGAGGAAUCUAUCUAAACGCGCUUCUAAAGCGUAUAACACCCUUUGUGAGAAGCAGCAAAACACACUUGCCAACCCAAAUACGGUGGCGAUGAAUGAGGAAGCUACUGCUUAUGAGAAGUGGCUCCAUGUGGCAGAGUUAGAAGAGGACUUUCUAAAGCAGAAAUCGAAGCUCCAUUGGUUAAAUGUGGGAGACCAAAACAACAAGACUUUCCACAAUUCGAUCAAGAUAAGACAAGCUCAGAACACCUUGAGGGAGGUUAAAUGUCAGGAUGGAAGGAUAGUAAACACUCACCAGGAGAUUAAGGUUGAGGCAGAGAGCUUCUUCUCAGAUGUUCUAAAUAAAGUUCCAAGCCGGUUCCAAGCUGCUUCGGUGGAGGAGCUGAGGGAGCUAAUUGAGUUUCAGUGUACCUCUGUUGACUGUAGUUUGUUGGAAGCUGAGGUCUCGGCAGAGGAUAUAAGGAAGGUGUUAUUCUCUAUGCCGUCAAAUAAAUCCCCAGGACCGGAUGGAUUUCCUGCGGAAUUCUACAAAACAACAUGGCCGGUGAUAUCUCAUGACUUCACCAUCGCGGUCCAAUCUGUCUUCCGUCUGGGGUUUCUACCAAAAGGAGUAAACUCAACAAUUCUGGCUUUGGUACCCAAGAAGAAUGAUGCAAUGGAGAUGAGAGACUACAGACCUAUUGCGUGCUGCAAUGUGCUGUACAAGGUUGUAUCGAAGAUUCUUGCAAAUCGUCUGAAGUUACUCUUACCAAGGAUCAUAGCUGAGAACCAAUCCGCUUUCGUAAAAGGAAGACUGCUGAUGGAAAAUGUCUUGCUAGCUUCAUAAUUGGUCAAGGACUACCACAAAGAAUCUGUUUCCCCCCGGUGUGCUAUGAAAAUAGACAUCUCUAAGGCGUUUGAUUCGGUCCAGUGGCAAUUUAUUAUCAACGGGUUACUGGCUAUGGGAUUUCCGGAGAGGUUCAUACAUUGGAUAAAACUUUGUAUCACCACCCCCUCCUUCUCGGUUCAAGUACAAGGCGAACUGGCGGGUUAUUUCCAAAGCAGUAGGGGUCUGAGACAAGGCUGCUCCCUCUCCCCCUAUCUGUUUGUUCUCUGUAUGAAUGUCAUGUCCCUGAAAAUGGACAAAGCAAUGAGAGAGGGAAAAUUCAGUCCUCAUCCUCGAUGUCAGUCCCUACAGCUUACUCAUCUGUGUUUUGCGGAUGACUUGAUUGUGUUUGUUGAAGGUACAAAAUGUUCGGUAGAGGGGGCUCUUACAGUGUUUGAUGAAUUUGAAUUGUGGUCAGGACUCUCUAUCAGUUUAGAGAAAUCGACAAUUCUUCAUAGCAGGAGUAUCAGUGGUUGAAAGAUGCAGGAUUUUGACGAACUUUCCCUUCGCAGUGGGAGAACUUCCAGUCAGAUAUUUGGGGCUUCCCCUGCUAACGCAAGCUACUUGCCUCUCCUAGAAAAGAUCAGAGGUCGUAUAUGUACUUGGACAAGCAGAUUUCUUUCCUAUGCAGGGAGACUGCAGCUGAUCCAGUCUGUGCUAGUGAGUAUAAUUAACUUCUGGUCAGCGGUUUUUCACCUACCAAGUCAAUGCAUAAGGGAAAUUGAGCAACUCUGUUCAGCUUUCCUCUGGUCAGGCCCGACACUAAAGACCUCGGGUGCAAAGGUGGCAUGGGUGGAGGUCAGUAUACCAAAAAACGAGGGAGGACUGAGGAUUAGAUCUUUAAAACAAGUUAAUUUCGUCUAUGGGUUGAAGCUUAUUUGGAGGAUGCUAGUUGGUGGCUCGCUGUGGGGAAAAUGGGUUCAAACGAACCUUCUCAAAAUUAAAAGCUUCUGGGAAGUUAAGGAAAGUUCACAGAUUGGCUCUUGGAUUUUCAGGAAAAUGCUUAAGAUGUGGUCUGUUGCUAAGACAUUCUAUAUGAAAGUAGUGGGGAAUGGGAGACAUACUUCUUUUUGGUAUGACAAGUGGACUGAGCUGGGAGUGAUGUCGGAUCUUCUCGGAGACAGAGGGGUUAUGGAUCUGGGUAUCAGGCGAGAAGCCACAGUGGAGGAAGUUCUCUGCAAUAACAGAAGGAGAAAACGACAUAGAAGAGUUUUGUUGAAUGAUAUUGAGAAAGAAUUGGAAAUAAUCAAAACAAAGCAGAGAGCAGAUGUGAAGGACGUCGAUCUGUGGAGAGGGAACAUGGGAUUCAAGCACAAAUUCUCCACUCAUGUGACUUGGCAGCUAACAAGACCACCAGGGACUCAAUGCACUUGGAGCAGGGGUAUCUGGUUCUCUCAGGCAAAUCCCAAAUUUGCUUUCAUGGCUUGGUUAGCGCUGCGGGAUAGGCUUUCCACCAUGGAUCGAGUUUCGAACUGGAGUCAAGGGGUGGACACGGCCUAUGUACUUUGCAAAAAUGCUACUGAAACAAAGAAGCACAUUUUCUUUGAGUGCAGCUUCUCCUCACGUAUUUGGGGAACUAUCACCAAAGGGAUACUGCUCAACACUUACUCUACUAGUUGGGGUGACAUUAUCAGGCAGAUCACAAACCAGUCUAUGGAGAAGAAGAAGAGGUUUGCUCUUCGCUAUGCUUUUCAAACUGCCUUGUACAUGAUCUGGACAGAACGCAACAAGAGGCGUCAUGGUGAACAGCCUCUCCCAUUACUGGUCUUGGCAAAGCUGAUAGAUAAAGCUAUCAGGAACAAGCUCAGUUUGGUGCAGUCCAAAGGAGUAAGGGGGUUGGAAAGUAUGCUGCAGUACUGGUUUGGCACAAUGACGUAAAUAGGAUUCUGGCUAAUGGCUAGGUUUUAGUAGUUUUGAAGCAUAGGUUGCUGUAAAGAAGGGUUUGGAGAUAGGAGUAGAAGUCUAUUUAGAUAAAGUAUCACUUGAUGUAAAAAGGUUAUUUUUUGAUUUUUUGAUGAAUAAAAUUUAACAUUCAUUAAAAAAAAAGUUUUCACAAGUUUUUGAAUUUUUGGAACUAACACCUUUUUGUUAUAUUUUGAGAUUAACAUUGAUAUUAUAUAUUGAUGCAUAUAAAGAGCAAGUAAAAAUUAAGAGGAAAAAACUGUGAUCAUUUGGAAUUUCUGAGUGCUUUUUCAAUGUGUUAGAUUUGUAUGAGUUUGAAAGAUUAGAAAUAAAAAGAAAUAGAAAAGGACAAACCAGGUGCUUGAAUCGUAACCAGCAAUUGUCGCCACCUUCUCCAAAGCAUGUCUCCAUUUUUCAGUAUCCUCCUUACUUUUACCCUCGCAAGUUUUUUCGAAAACUUUCCCAAAAUAUCCUCUGAGCUUCUUUACAUCAGCCGGAUCUACUUUAUAGAAAACAGGGAUCACGGUUUGGCCUAACUCUUCUUUGCACUUCAUAAUCUCCACCAACUCGUCAAGGCACCACUUUGAAGAAGCAUAGUUCCUCGAGAGCAAGAUGAUGGCGAUUUUAGAUCCUCUAAUGGCCCUUAUGAGUUCUGGACCGAUGGAUUCUCCUCUCCUGAUCUCAUUGUCGAUGAAUGGUGUGAUUCCUUUUCUUCUAAACUCCUUUUGAAUGUGGCUUAGAAACCCUAUGCGGACAUCUUCCCCGCGGAAGCUUGGAAAAACAUCGUGUGUCCAGUUAUGAGACGAAGAAGAUGGAGCAGAUGAAAGAGACAAAGAGGACGGAUGUGAUGAGGGAGACAAAGAAGAUGGAAGUGAUGAAGGACACGGAGGUGAAGAAGGAGACAGAGAAGGUGGAGGUGAUGAUGGAACUUGAAUUUGGCUCUGGUUCUGCACUCGGAUCUUCUUUCUCGCUGGAUUCGAAAGCUCAUGUCCUUUCCUCUUCUUUCUCUUUUCUACCAUCUUUCUCUGUUUCUUAAUUUCUUUCAAAAACGAUUGAAAUCUCAUUUUCAAAAUCUUUUUUUUUUUACUGAAGUUGAUAAAAAAGAAAAUCAGUUUCUUGGUUUUCUCGAUGGAAUCUGAACUUUUUUAGAAAACAUGAAGAAGCAUACAACAAAAUGGUAAAGGAAAUGAUAAAAAAGGAAGAAGCAAACUGUGUGGUGGAGAGAGGGACCAAGAAUAUUUCUAGAUUAGUUUAUGUAAAGCAAUAAUGAACCAAAGAGACUUGUGAAAAUUUUGUAUGUGUAAUUGCGUAUAUGUCUUGAAACGUUGACUCGGCCGACUUACAAAGACUUUUGUGGAAAAAUAUGUCACCGACGAAAAAUAAGGUGCAUAAAGUUUAAUGUAAAGUCCCACCAUUCCGUUUUGGCUUAUACUAUUCUAAGAAGGAAAAUGCAAGGAAGAGCACAAGCAAUUUCAAGGAAGCAGUGAUCAAAAUCCAAUGUCUGCACAUCAGAACUGAUGAGUUCACACUUGAAAAUUUCACAGCAAAGAGAUCAUUCAAUCUUCUCUAGAAGCUUUUUUAUAUAUUUCUCCUCCUACUCAUACCAAUCUUUUCUUUUAAAACGUUUGGGCUUCGUUUGGUUUUCAUAUUCAUUCAAACUUAAGUACAUUCUUCAUAAAAAAUAAUGUUCAUGAACAUCUGGUCAUCAUCAUCUAGACAGUCCAUUCGUCUUGUAAUGGAAAUGUGUGGUGGAAGUGAAUUGUCCGAUAGGAUUGUAGAUCAAGCCUGAGAACUUCUUGCUCUUUAGUAAAGAUGAGAACGCUAUGCUCAAAGCUACUGACUUUGGAUUGUCUGUUUUCAUUGGAGAAGCUGAGAACGCUAUACAUACAACUCUUCUAGUUAUAAGAUAUAUGUAAAUGCUAUGUUUUAGUUUCUUAAGAUUAUAACCAAUGUUUAUUUUCAGGUGUGAUCCAUAUAUAACUUGAGAGUCUUAUUAGUUCAGUACAUAGUGGUAAUCUUCAAAAAGAGGAUUUGCAAGUUGGCAAUGUGAGUAAUUACUUGUGUAGACCUUGUGUUUUCUUUUUUCCUAAUCUUACUAUCAGUUUAGUUAGUUGAUAACUGUGUAUUCAUAAGCUUUAUGUGUUGUUUUAUAAACUGAAAACAAAAUUGCAGGGAAAGUUUUGAUAACGUUUGAGAAACAUAAAAGAUUAUAGCUUUGCUAAGCUUUAUUGACACAUGAAAGAUAGCUUAAGAAAGCUUUAUUGAAAUGCUAGAAACUAAAGAGAGGAAGAGAUUAAGUUGUCACCAAGAGAUAAACGUUGGAUUUGAUUUCAUAUAUUGGAAAGGGAGAGGCUGCUAUUAUACCAGCCAAAGACUUACAACCAAAGAACAUCUAACGACAUAUUUAUAAUGGUCUAUAAACCCUAGUUACAUGGUUACAAAAGCUUCUUAAUGGAUCAUUCAAUGGGUCUUUCUUAUGGGCUUCAAUAAGUUUACAGAGAUAUUUGGAGUGCAGAGAUUAUUCUAUACAUCUUGCUUUGUGGUGUACCUCCCUUAAUUACAAAGAACUGAAAACCAGGGUGGCUAAACACGGUUCUAGACUCUCUGAAGAUGAAGUUAACCAACUCAUGGAAGUUAUUACUAUAGAUACAGACUGGAUUGAGAGGAGCACUUGUUCAAAGACUUCCAAUACUUUGACAAAGACAAGAGCUGGUAAGUUCUCUUUGGUGGAACAGAGAAAACUAUAGAAUGAGAAGUUAAAACAAUAUUCCGAGACACUGAGAUGGAAUUGGCUUACACAGGUUUAUCAACAAUGGAUGAGUUGGAGUUAGCCAUGAAAUAGUAUGGUAUGGGAGAUGAAGCUAUCAUCAAAGAAGCUAUAGAGGAAGUAGAUACAGAUAAUUACAAGUUAUGUUUCCCACUACAUAGCAUGAAAAAAAACCUAUGAGCCAACGCUGAGAUUAACAAUGAAGAAUUCUGUGCCAUGAUGAAGUGAUACUGGUACCACGCAGCCACAAAAGGGAAAACUUGUUCCAUUCCAUUCAUUGAUAAAUCGAAAAGGAGGAACAUAAAAUUAAACUUGAUCCAAAAACAUUAUUCUAGAAGUUAUAGUGGAAGAAGAAGUAUUGCUGUCCUAAACCGAGGGAAAUGUUUUACAGAAAGUAGUUUACACAGAUACCGCAAACUGCGAAUUGUUUUUUUCAGCUUCCAUUAGAAUGAGAUGGUGCCGCAAGAAACUAUCGAUGAUAAAGUGAUGCUAAAAUCAUGGAAAUUCUUCUAGUGCAGCUCCUUUAAGCUUUAGAUUUAUAAAUAUUUAUGGAAAUCUCAGGAAUAAACCCUUUAAGGCACGCCUCAGAGGACUCAGUUUUCGGAUAGGCAACACUCUUGGUGACCAUCUUGAGAGAAAGAGAACAAACACCUUGUCCCUAACCAAAGCUUGGAUCUCAACAGCAUCAGGAAACAUGUACUCAAUAAGUCAGAAAGGUCUUCCAGUUAAAUGAGCAUACUCAAUAAGAGAAACAUAUCCUGCUCCACUGAAAAAAAGAAAACAGAUUCUCAAUUAUGGUAGUCUUAGUUGAUAAUAAUCUCGGGUGUUCAUAUGCUUGAUAUGAAGCUUACAGGGAUAUCGCUGGACCUUCCAACCAUGACCUUGUUAUGAAAAACGCUCAGUAAGGAUCCCAAGAAAAGAAUCUCUGCAGCACAAUCUCUUUGGUAAAGCUUUACAAACCCAAAAACAUUGUAAUAAAUUUACUAGUUAAUUACUUGGAAACCUUUAACAGUAUCAUUGUGGCUCUUCUUUGAACAUCCUUGGAUCAGAGGCGGCGAAGAGCGGGAUAAGCCUUUAUUGAUAAUGCUGUGUUGAGAAGAGGAAAUUAAAGGUCUUAAAACAAUCACUUACACUAAUUAAGAACUCAAACUCUUUGAAGCUGAAGUUAAACAACUUGUGGAAGCUGUUAGUUUAGAUACAGACCUGAUCGAGAUGAGCACUUAUUCAAAGCCGAUACAUUGUACUCAAACCCAAUGCGAAAUGUUUCUUCAGCUUCAAUUAACAUGAGAGAGCCAAGCUUUCUGGAGGACGUAGCCCGCAUUCCUUAAUCUCCCAAUUUUUACGGCGGAAUCCGAACUCAAAGACUAAUUCAGGGGAACUCACAGUUUCUUCAAUUUCGAAUACGAGCAGAUGCUCUGAUUGUUGAGACAGUUUCCCCCACAAAGAACAACAUACCGAGUUAACCUUGACACCACUCAGUUUGUCCUUGAUGCAAUAAAAUAUAUCCGACUUGUUCAAAGCACCAAAGUACCAAGCAGGCUCAACGUAGGAAGGUUUAGUAACCAGCAAGAGGCAAGCUUUAAAUCCCAAGGAUGUGGGAAAAUGUGUAUCGAAUCCAUUCAGUUUCAUUGACACUGAACUCCCCGUGGCUCUGUAAAUGAAAUAUGCAGGCACCGUUUCUCCGGGAAAGAUCGCCCAUCUUUUUGUCGAUGUCUUGAGGAUAAGGUCUCUUGCUUCUUGAUUCAGUUUGAAGCAGUUAACAAAGCUGAGCUCAUUAAACUUUGUCCUGUGAAAAGAGCAAUCGAGUCUCUCGAGGGACUCACAGUUUUCUGCAGCUAUGAUUUGUAAUGAAUCUGGAAGCUGUGGGAGCGAAACCAGCUUUGUGCUUCCCUACGUUACAAGUUUAUGUAGACGAGACAUUUCCUUGACCCAUGGAGAAACUUCUUGUAUUCGUGUGUCGCUCAAGUGAAGCUCCGUGAUGAGGUCAAACGCAUGCUGGGAUUUCCCGAGGUUUUCACUGUAUGACAUAUGUAACCUUUCAAGACGAGACCAUGACCUGAUUGAUUGAGGAAUUUCUUCAAUAGCAGUUCUCUUGAGCUUUAGAACUCUAAUGUUUGUGGAAAUCUCAGGAAAGCUUUUCAAUGACGAGCAGUCCCCGAGAUGAAGCUCAUCAAGAGAUUUCAUGUUGAUGUUCACUGGAAGAGCCUUUAGCUUUGAGCAACCUCUGAGAUUCAACUGCUUCAAAUUAUGAAGAUUCCCAAUAGAAGAAGGGAGCUUUAUAAAGCUUGAGCAAUAACUAAGUUGGAAAGAUACUAAAUUAGUCAUAUUCCCAAUAGAAGAAGUGAGCUCCACAAAGCUUGAGCUUCCGCUGAGAUACAAAUCCUCAACAUUAGUCAUAUUUCCAAUAGAAGAGGGGAGCUCCACAAGGCUUGAGCACUCGCCAAGAAUCAACCUCUUGAGAUUAGUCAUAUUCCCAAUAGAGGAAGGGAGCUCCACAAGGCUUGAGCAUCCAUCGAGAUCCAAAUUCUCAAGAUUAAUUAGUCAUAUUACCAAUAGAAGAGGAGAGCUCCACAAGGCUUGAGCAUCUAUCUAAGUUCAACUUCUCGAGAUUAGUCAUAUUUCCAAUAGAAAAAGGGAGCUCGACAAGGCUUGAACAUCCAUUUAACUCCAACUUCUUCAGAUUAGCCAUAUUUCCAAUAGAAAAAGGGAGUUCGACAAGACUUGAACAUCCAUCUAACUCCAACUCUUUGAGAGUAGUAAUAUUUCCAAUAGAAAAGGGGAGCUCGACAAGACUUGAACAUCCCGUGAUAUUCAAAUUCUCGAGAUUAAUCAAAUUCCCAAUAGAAAAAGGAAGCUCCAUAAGACUUGAACAAUCACGAAGAUCCAAUUUUAGGAGAUUUGUGGCAGUUGAAAGAUUAGGAAGACUCCAUAAAACGUUAUCUCUACUCUCACUCACUCGUUGAAAGAUUAGGAAGCUUCUUCAAGGUAAUGAUAAGAAGUCAGAAUCAUGAAUGUGUGAGAGAGCGUUGAUUGUUUGUCGUUUUAUUAUAUUUGUUUUGGCACCUACAUGACAAGGCCAUGAGGUUUUAUGUCGUCAAGGGGUGUGAUUUCUGGCUAUUGAAGCCAAAAUGGAAACUAAGUUUGUGACAUGACAAGAGACCAAACAAAAAAAACUGCCUUUGCGUUUAAACAAAAAGAUUGUACAAACUCUUCCUCCCAAGUCCAGACAUGGGUUCAUUUGCUCUUGUUUUUGUCGGUUGCUGAAUUGGAAUCUCCGUUCUCUACGCAUCACUAACAUGUGUCAUUUACAUACUUAAAAUCAAUUUCAAACAUAAUCAUCACACAGACUACAAUGAUGCGUGAGUUGUAGACGACAAAAAUAAAAUAAAGAUAAGUUACUUCUGUUGUAUCCUACUUCAUUUUGCCUUUACAUCCACAAAAUUAGUGAUUUUAACAUUGUUGUUGUUCCAUUCAUUUCGUGGGAAGAUAAGCGAACAAAGAAGCAAACACAUAUGGUAGUAAGUUUACAAUAAUGCCCUUGGGAAUCACCGACAUAUAGCUAGGCUGCUACAAAACAUCGUUGACAUCGUUGGCAAAACAUCUUCUGACAUAUGUCACCAACGAAAAAUAAGGUGCAUAAAGUCCCACCAUUCCCUUUUGGCUUAUACUAUUCUAAGAAGGAAAAUGCAAGGAAGAGCACAAGCAAUUUCAAGGAAGCAGUGAUCAAAAUCCAAUGUCUGCACAUCAGAACUGAUGAGUUCACACUUGAAAAUUUCACAGCAAAGAGAUCAUUCAAUCUUCUCUAGAAGCUUUUUUAUAUAUUUCUCCUCCUACUCAUACCAAUCUUUUCUUUUAAAACGUUUGGGCUUCGUUUGGUUUUCAUAUUCAUUCAAACUUAAGUACAUUCUUCAUAAAAAAUAAUGUUCAUGAACAUCUGGUCAUCAUCAUCUAGACAGUCCAUUCGUCUUGUAAUGGAAAUGUGUGGUGGAAGUGAAUUGUCCGAUAGGAUUGUAGAUCAAGCCUGAGAACUUCUUGCUCUUUAGUAAAGAUGAGAACGCUAUGCUCAAAGCUACCGACUUUGGAUUGUCUGUUUUCAUUGGAGAAGUUGAGAAUGCUAUACAUACAACUCUUCUGGUUAUAAGAUAUAUGUAAAUGCUAUGUUUUAGAUUUCUUAAGAUUAUAACCAAUGUUUAUUUUCAGGUGUGAUCCAUAUAUAACUUGAGAGUCUUAUUAGUUUAGUUCAUAGUGGUAAUCUUCAAAACAGAGGCUUUGCAAGUUGGGAAUGUGAGUAAUUGUGUAGACCUUGUGUUUUUUUUUCCCUUAAUCUUACUAUCAGUUUAGUUAGUUGAUAACUGUGUGUUCAUACGCUUUAAUGUGUUGUUUUAUAAACUUAAAAAAAAUUACAGGGAAAGUUUACAGAGAUGAGUGCAGAGAUUAUUCUAGACAUCUUGCUUUGUGGUGUACCUCCCUUACUUGCAAAGAACUGAAAACCAGGGUGGCUAAAAGAUGAAGUUAACAAAAUCAUGGAAGUUAUUACUAUAGAUACAGACUGGAUUGAGAUGAGCACUUGUUCAAAGACUUCCAAUACUCUGACAAAGACAAGAGCUGGUAAGUUCGCUUUGGUGGAGCAGAGAAACCUAUAGACUGAGAAGAAAAUAUUCUGAGACACUGAUAUGGACUUGGCUUAGACCGGUUUAUAAACAGUGUAUGAGUUGGAGUAAGCCAUGAAAGAGUAUGGAUGGGGAGAUGAAGCUAUCAUUAAAUAAUCUAUAAUGGAAGUAGAUACAGAUAAUUACAUGUUAUGUUUCCCUCUACAUAUACAAAUUCUGUUGGUAUAUGGUGGUUACGUUUUUUUUUGUUGUUUCAGUCAUUUCGAAUUACUGGUAUGGCCUCUUCUCUAAGAAAUCUGUUGACUUUUUGUGUUCAUAGGCAGAACUGAAUUCGAAAGGAGUGGCGCAUUCUCAAAAUUUGCAUGUUUUCAUGCUCUUUUCUGAUACUUACCACGUAUCUGACAGUCUGUGGUUCAGUGUAAAGCAACUAAGCAGUAGACAGAAGAAGCUGAAGUAGUCAAAGAAGGGCUUGAAGAAGCAUUUAACAAGUACUUGGGAUCAAAAAAAUCUGGAUACUCGUUAUGUCAGAGGACAAUACUUACAACUGCAAUUGGGAUCAGUCACGGUGAAAAUAUAUUAGGUUAUACGACCGUACAAUGUAGGCUGUUUGUAUAUAAAAGAAAUGCAGUCUUGACUAUAUUGGAGAAAACAAAUGGUACAAGGAAGGCUUCUAUUAGAGUGUAUAGAAAGUUCAAAUACGUUUGAGUUUCAACAAAGAGCGUCUUCUGGUCUGGUAUAUAUGUGGAAAGGAGGAUAUAUUUUUUUGUAUGGCCCUGUUGGAGAAAGAAAAAUCUGCACAACACUGAACAAUAUUCUGAGACACUUAGAUGGAUUUGGCUAACACAGUUUUAUCACAAAGGUUGAGUUGGACUAAGCCCUGAAAGAGUACGUUCAAUGGCAUCCUGAAUCAAUUGACUUAGGGCCCGACUGGUUUAAACGCAGCGAUUGCGGUUGCGGGAGUUUGCGGAUGCAGAUAGUUACGGUUUCAAGCGUUAUUAAGCGUUUUGUAUGACUGGUACAACGUUUGAAAAUUAUUACGUUUGCGAAAUAUUUGUGACUGGUUGAUUAUAAAAUAUUGCAGCGGUUUAAUAAUAAAUUACUUAUAUCAACAUAUUAUAACAUUUAAAAAAUAUAAAAACAUACUAUUGUUAUAAAAUAUAAUAAUUAUCAAUAUAAUAUGAUUAAUAAAAAUAUUAGGUUUAUUUAUAAAAAAUUCAAAUUAGUUGAAAGUUAUAAUUUUAAUAAAAUUUGUUUUGAAGAUUUAUAUUAAAAAAAUUAAAAAUAUUUUAUUUCAUUUUAUAUAUGUGUAUAUCUUUAUAUAUGUGUGUAUAGAAAUGUUUAAAAAUUCUAAUAAAUAGUUAGUUUAAAGUUUUUAUGAAGCAAAUUAUGAUACUGUUUGUGAAUUUUAAUUAAUAUAUAAAAUAUGUAUAUAUUUUUAUUUAUAAUAUUUCCAUUUUAAAAUUUUAAUUUUAAAAUUUUAUAAUAUUUUUGAAAAUAAUUUUAUAUUUAUUUUUCCACCUGCAACCGCCUGCAAACGCAAACGCUAGCUGGAACCAGCUUUUGAUUUUAAGAAGUUUAGAGCGGUUUGGAGCGAUUUGUAUGAUUGUUUCAAAACGCUGUCAACCGCUAGCAACCGCAAAAACUACGUUUACAGGUCAUAGAGGGAAAACCAGUGAGGCCCUUAGUCACUUAGGAUAUAUUUCACUCAAGUUGCACAAACCUUUUUUAUUGUAGAAUGAACGUAUCACAACAAUAUUAUGCACAUAGGCACAUAGAUUAUUUUUGCCAACACAUUUUUACUCAAACCCCAAGAUAACUCACAACGCAAUGAUAAUUUUAGACAAAUACCGAAAAAAUGGACAUCAACUUGAAAUUAAGGUUUUUGGAAGAAAAGAAAAUUGUUAACGAAAAUGAGAUUUGUUUUUUCAGCGUCCAUUAACACGAGGAGGGAGCAUCGCUUUCUGGAGAACCGCAUUCGUCACUUUCUUCUGAACCGUAUUCUUCGCUUUCCCAAUCGCUUUCUGGAGUACUUAGUCUGCAUUCUUUUAUCCUCGUCCUGUACCAAACACCAAUCUCAACGUCAGUCUUACUAACCAGCAAAACGCAAGCUAUAAAUCUCAGUGAUGUAGGAAAAUUGAUGUGAGGAUAUUCUUGAUGAGGUCAAAAACAUGCUGCCAUUUCCAGAGGUUUUCACAGUAUGAAUAAACAUAUCAAGACGAGACCAUUACCUGAAUGAUGGAGGAAUUUCUUCUAUAGCAGUUCCAUUAAUCUUUAGAUCUACAAUGUUUGUGCAAAUUUCAGGAAGGCUUUUCAACGACGAGCAGUUACUGAGAUCUAGCUCCCAAAGAGAUUCCAAGUUGAUGAUGAUCGGAAGGGCCUUUAGCUUUGAGCAACCUUUCAUUUGCAAUCUUUGCAAACAAUGAAGAUUCCCAAUAGAAGAGGGGAGCUUCUCUAGACUUGAGCAUCCGUUGAGAUACAAGUCCUGGAGAUUAGUCAGAUUCCCAAUAGAAGAGGGUGUGAUUUCUGGCUAUUGAAGCCAAAAUGGAAACUAAGUUUGUGACAUGACAAGAGACCAAACAAAAAAAACUGCCUUAGCGUUUAAACAAAAAGAUUGUACAAACUCUUCCUCCCAAGUCCAGACAUGGGUUCAUUUGCUCUUGUUUUUGUCGGUUGCUGAAUUGGAAUCUCCGUUCUCUACGCAUCACUAACAUGUGUCAUUUACAUACUUAAAAUCAAUUUCAAACAUAAUCAUCACACAGACUACAAUGAUGCGUGAGUUGUAGACGACAAAAAUAAAAUAAAGAUAAGUUACUUCUGUUGUAUCCUACUUCAUUUUGCCUUUACAUCCACAAAAUUAGUGAUUUUAACAUUGUUGUUGUUCCAUUCAUUUCGUGGGAAGAUAAGCGAACAAAGAAGCAAACACAUAUGGUAGUAAGUUUACAAUAAUGCCCUUGGGAAUCACCGACAUAUAGCUAGGCUGCUACAAAACAUCGUUGACAUCGUUGGCAAAACAUCUUCUGACAUAUGUCACCAACGAAAAAUAAGGUGCAUAAAGUCCCACCAUUCCCUUUUGGCUUAUACUAUUCUAAGAAGGAAAAUGCAAGGAAGAGCACAAGCAAUUUCAAGGAAGCAGUGAUCAAAAUCCAAUGUCUGCACAUCAGAACUGAUGAGUUCACACUUGAAAAUUUCACAGCAAAGAGAUCAUUCAAUCUUCUCUAGAAGCUUUUUUAUAUAUUUCUCCUCCUACUCAUACCAAUCUUUUCUUUUAAAACGUUUGGGCUUCGUUUGGUUUUCAUAUUCAUUCAAACUUAAGUACAUUCUUCAUAAAAAAUAAUGUUCAUGAACAUCUGGUCAUCAUCAUCUAGACAGUCCAUUCGUCUUGUAAUGGAAAUGUGUGGUGGAAGUGAAUUGUCCGAUAGGAUUGUAGAUCAAGCCUGAGAACUUCUUGCUCUUUAGUAAAGAUGAGAACGCUAUGCUCAAAGCUACCGACUUUGGAUUGUCUGUUUUCAUUGGAGAAGUUGAGAAUGCUAUACAUACAACUCUUCUGGUUAUAAGAUAUAUGUAAAUGCUAUGUUUUAGAUUUCUUAAGAUUAUAACCAAUGUUUAUUUUCAGGUGUGAUCCAUAUAUAACUUGAGAGUCUUAUUAGUUUAGUUCAUAGUGGUAAUCUUCAAAACAGAGGCUUUGCAAGUUGGGAAUGUGAGUAAUUGUGUAGACCUUGUGUUUUUUUUUCCCUUAAUCUUACUAUCAGUUUAGUUAGUUGAUAACUGUGUGUUCAUACGCUUUAAUGUGUUGUUUUAUAAACUUAAAAAAAAUUACAGGGAAAGUUUACAGAGAUGAGUGCAGAGAUUAUUCUAGACAUCUUGCUUUGUGGUGUACCUCCCUUACUUGCAAAGAACUGAAAACCAGGGUGGCUAAAAGAUGAAGUUAACAAAAUCAUGGAAGUUAUUACUAUAGAUACAGACUGGAUUGAGAUGAGCACUUGUUCAAAGACUUCCAAUACUCUGACAAAGACAAGAGCUGGUAAGUUCGCUUUGGUGGAGCAGAGAAACCUAUAGACUGAGAAGAAAAUAUUCUGAGACACUGAUAUGGACUUGGCUUAGACCGGUUUAUAAACAGUGUAUGAGUUGGAGUAAGCCAUGAAAGAGUAUGGAUGGGGAGAUGAAGCUAUCAUUAAAUAAUCUAUAAUGGAAGUAGAUACAGAUAAUUACAUGUUAUGUUUCCCUCUACAUAUACAAAUUCUGUUGGUAUAUGGUGGUUACGUUUUUUUUUGUUGUUUCAGUCAUUUCGAAUUACUGGUAUGGCCUCUUCUCUAAGAAAUCUGUUGACUUUUUGUGUUCAUAGGCAGAACUGAAUUCGAAAGGAGUGGCGCAUUCUCAAAAUUUGCAUGUUUUCAUGCUCUUUUCUGAUACUUACCACGUAUCUGACAGUCUGUGGUUCAGUGUAAAGCAACUAAGCAGUAGACAGAAGAAGCUGAAGUAGUCAAAGAAGGGCUUGAAGAAGCAUUUAACAAGUACUUGGGAUCAAAAAAAUCUGGAUACUCGUUAUGUCAGAGGACAAUACUUACAACUGCAAUUGGGAUCAGUCACGGUGAAAAUAUAUUAGGUUAUACGACCGUACAAUGUAGGCUGUUUGUAUAUAAAAGAAAUGCAGUCUUGACUAUAUUGGAGAAAACAAAUGGUACAAGGAAGGCUUCUAUUAGAGUGUAUACAAUCGCUUUCUGAAGUACUUAGUCUGCAUUCUUUUAUCCUCGUCCUGUACCAAACACCAAUCUCAACGUCAGUCUUACCAACCAGCAAAACGCAAGCUUUAAAUCUCAGUGAUGUAGGAAAAUUGAUGUGAGGAUAUUCUUGAUGAGGUCAAAAACAUGCUGCCAUUUCCAGAGGUUUUCACAGUAUGACAUAAAUAAACAUAUCAAGACGAGACCAUUACCUGAAUGAUGGAGGAAUUUCUUCUAUAGCAGUUCCAUUAAUCUUUAGAUCUACAAUGUUUGUGCAAAUCUCAGGAAAGCUUUUCAACGACGAGCAGUUACUGAGAUCUAGCUCCAAAAGAGAUUCCAAGUUGGUGAUGAUCGGAAGGGCCUUUAGCUUUGAGCAACCUUUCAUUUGCAAUCUUUGCAAACAAUGAAGAUUCCCAAUAGAAGAGGGGAGCUUCUCUAGACUUGAGCAUCCGUUGAGAUACAAGUCCUGGAGAUUAGUCAGAUUCCCAAUAGAAGAGGGGAGCUCCACAAGGCUUGAACAUUUGUUGAGGUUCAACUGUUCAAAAUGAGUCAUAUUUCCAAUAGAAGAAGGAAGCUCCACAAGGCUUGAGCAUCCUAUGAGACAUAAGGCUUGAGCAGCACCACAGAUCCAAACGUCGAAGAUUAAUGGCAGUUGAAAGAUCAGGAAGCUCCUUCAGAUUUUUCGCUUCAGUCAAUUUCAACCACUUGAGAUUUCUAAUCGUCUGUACAGAAAACAAAGACAUCAUUAAAACAAACGUUGAUACAUAUUUCAUGCAAAAAAAAAAAAAAUCACUACCAAUAAUUCUAAUACAAUAGCGCUUUCUCAAAUCAAAAUAAAAUAAAAUAAUAAUAAUAAUUCUUAUACAAAAGGAUCAUUUAAUUUCUUUUCAGCUAAAACACAUUGUACAAGAAGAUAACUUAUAGGUUCGAUCAAAACGGAAGUAUACAAAUUUUUAGAGAGAGAAAUAUUUGUACUUACUUUAUUUCCUUCCCACAAUUUCUCAAGCUUGCUAAAACUCAUGUUUAUUCCCACCAGGAACUCCGGAUUAAAACUAGAAGGCAGACAUGUCAUUGGAAAUUUGGUCCAAUCCAGUAAUUUAAGUUCUCGAGGUAGGCAGAUCAGACUUUCUAGUACGUAUGGACUGUGGUCUAGUACGUAUGGACCGUGGUAACUAAAAUCACAAGAACGAUUUAAGAAUUGAACAUUGGACAUUCUUUCAAAGGCUCUGUCACUUACCUUCAACUCCUUUCCCAACUCAAUAGUUAUGCCUAUAACACUUCGACUACCCUGAAAAAGAAACCAAAGAUAAAUAAGCAACAUGAUUUGUUGUCACAUAUUCUAGGGAUAAAUGCAGUGAACGACCAAUAUGAAAACUUACUAGUGUACCAUCACUUAGUACUUUGCAUAUAUCUUCAUCAUCAACCAAAAACUGACGUUGCCCAGGCUCGUAAGGGGCUUGUUUACGAACAAUUUCCCUACCCAAAAGUGCUAGCAAAUCAUGCAUCUUUAUAACUCCCAGAGUCGACGGAUAUGAGAGAUCUCUCAGCUAAAACACGAAGACGACCUUUUAUACCAGAAAAAUUCUCUGCAAGACACUCCUCCACUAUUGUAAUAUGUAGGCCGUUGAAAAAGCAGGCUAUGUGAAGAAAUAAAGCUUGAUCGUCAUUGCAUAACGUAUCAUAGCUGAGCUUUAAAAUACUUUCAAUGUCUCCAUCAAGUCUAGUUCUUAACCUUGGUAACUCAUGUUCCCACUCCUCUUUUGACAAUCCCUUGAAAUAAGAUCCCACAACACUUAGACCCAAUGGGAGUUUACCAACAAGCUUUGUAACUUCCAGAGCAAGGUCCCCAAAACCAUCAUAUGGGGAUUUUUGACCAAAAGCAUUUAUGCAGAAGAUUUCAAGAGCUUCAUCAUCAUGUGGAAAACCAACCUCGUAAAUAAGGUUAAUCGGAUGGGCUUUUAAAAUUCUCUUAUCUUGCGUUGUGACGAUAACCCGACUUCCCGGACCAAACCACCAAAGUUCUUUCGCCAAGGCAUCUAGUUGCGCAGAUUGGUCCACGUCGUCGAGAACAACUAACACUUUCUUAUCUUUUAGUCGGUCUUGUGCAACUCCUAAAUGAUGGAUAGUGACAUCCUUCUGAUUGAGUAUUAGAGACAAGAACUUAUUUUGUAAUUGCAGUUGUGCGCAAGGUCUUGGAUACUCUCUUUUGAUAUUCUCCAUGAAGACGCUAAGUUGAAAGUCAGGAGAGUGUUGGCUAAAUAGAGAUCUGGCGAUGGUGCUCUUACCAAUUCCAGACGGACCCCAAAUCCCUAUCAUCCUCACCUCAUUGGAAUCCAAGCGUAAGAGCAGAUCCAUAUUUUCCAUGUGAGCUCUCAUCCCAACUAAGCUGUUAAAAUCACUUGAUGGAACAGAACUAAUCAGCUUGUUUGAAACAUCUGUGGCUAUUUCCUCAAUCAUGGCCGCUUCAUUAUCCCUAAACAGAGGAAAGAUAAAUAUAUUCGCUCAAUACGUUUUGCAAAUAUGAAUCGGUUUUGGCUGCAUAUAUACAAAAUUUGAAAGAUGUUAAAAUACACAAAACUCUCAAAUUUUAAAAUCAAGCAACUCUAUUUGAAAUCACAUCCUAAUAGGUAUUCAUAAAUAACCAAAUUAACAUCUGUAAAAUGUAGGGAAUGAUAUAAAUUUUCAAAAGUUUUGCAACUAACACAUUUUUAUUAUAUUUUGACAUAAAUAUUGAUAUUAUAUAUUGAUGUCAUGGAAAGAUAUAUAAGUGGAAAAUUUGUUAUCGUUUGGAAAUUUUUUUUCUGUUUGUUACAUUUGUAUGUGUUUGAAAAAUUAGAAGCAAAAAGAAAUAGAAAAAAGACGAACCAAUUGCUUGAAUGGUAACCAGCGGGACACUUUGGCUAGAGUUUCUUUCCAUCUCCCAAUAUCCUCUUUACUUUUACCCACACAAGUUUUUCUGAAAACUUUCCCAAAAUAUCCAGUCAGCUUCUUUACAUCAGACGGAUCUACUUUAUAGAAAACGACCAUCACAGUUUGACCCAACUCUUCUCUGCACUUCAUAAUUUCCACCAACUCAUCAAGACACCAUUUUGAAGAUGCAUAGUUCCUCGAGAGCAAGAUGAUCGCGAUCUUAGAUCCUCUAAUCGCCUUUAUGAGUUCGGGACCGAUGGAUCCUCCUCUAUUGAUCCUAUUGUCGUUGAAUGGAGUGAUUCCCUUUCUCUUAAACUCUUUUUGAAUGUGACUGAGUAAGUCUAUGCGGACAUCUUCCCCACGGAAACUGGGAAAGACAUCGUGUGUCCAGUUUUGAGACGAAGAAGAUGAAGGAACUGAUGAAAUAGAGAAAGAAGAUGGAUGUGAUGAGUCAAUUUCUUCGAUGUCUUGAUUGAAUCUGAAUUUUCGAAAAAACACGAAGCAACCUGUUGCAGCACCAAAGAUGGUAAGGAAAAAGGAAUAAUUCAUUUGUGUGGUGGAAAAAGAGAGAAAGAGAGAGCUCUGUAUAUAAUUCAGUAAUCAAAUAUAGUAAUAGAAGACAUUGACUCUAUAUAUUGACUGAGAAUCUUUUUCCAAAUAUAUUAUCAUUAAUAUGUUUUAGAAGUUAAAAGUGGCCAAUAAUUAGGCUUCGAUUGUGUGUGUUGUAAAAACUAAUAAAUAAUAAAAUAAAAAUGAAAUAAUUCUUUUUGAAAUACUUUUAUAAAUAUGUAAACAGUUAAAGUAAUAAUAUAAAAAAAAAUUAUUCAUUGUUCCUUUUCAAUUUUUUUUUUGUGAUGAGGAAUUUUUUUUUUACAUUUUAUUUAUAAAAUUGAACAUUACAGAAUAGAUAUAAAAAUAUUUGAAUAUUUCAAAUUAAAUUUCUUUUAAAUGGUGUAAUUUUUGGAAGAUGUCACUUUUUCUUAUUUCUAUAAUUUUGUUUUUGUAAAAAUAUGUUAUGUAAAUAUGUCAGAUACAUUUUCUUCUUUGCCCCUAUCAGUGAAAGACUAAUCUCAAAAUAAUUUUAUUUAAAAUAAUUUUAUUUUUAGAGUCAAUUUGACCAAAAUCCUAAAAAAAAAUGAGGAAUUACAAGCUACUUAUAACAAAAAUAUUGUGGGCCUUUGUAUUGUACCUAGGCAAAUAUAAAUGACCAAACAGUCCACGUGUCUAUCAGAUAUUCCAUCUGUUUUAUAAUAGGUGUUGUUUUAAUUUUUUUUUUUUGUUAUAAAAAAAUAUCACUUUACAAUUUUAAUGAAAACUAUAUUUAGUUUCAGCUGAAAAUUGAUUGAAAACUUCAUUAAUUUUAUAAAUAAUUUUAUUUAUCUCAGAUACUAUUAGCUAAAUGGUAUACUUAAUAACAACUUACAUAUAUUUCCGCCACUUUAAUUUGUGUGAAAAAUGUCAAAGUGACACUUAUUUACAUACGGAGGGAGUAAUGAAUUAGACUAGGCUUACUGUAGGUUAGAAACACAAAAAACUUAUUUAAGGGGAUUAAUAAUCAUUAAAAUGUUAUGAAAUAACUUAUAAUUUAUAGUAUCGAAAAAUUUAAAUAAGAGUAGAAUUCGUGCCCGUUGACUCGAUUACUUUGAGGGUUCGCGCAGUGGAAGACGAUUCUUCGGAAGACGACGACUCCGAAGCCGAGUCGUUUCCGACGACCUUCUAUCCCGAAGGGAUUUUCGAGGAGCUUCCGCGACUACAUCCUGAUUUAUUGCGCCCUGCUUUCGUGGCCGGUCAAGAUUGGGACGGUGUGGAGGAGACUAAGUCGACCCUGAGGAGCGUGAAGAGGGUUCUUCGGGCCAAGAACGCUACAGGCGUGACCGUCCUUAUUCCUUCGAAGGAGCAAAGGCCUUGGUCUCCUCCGAUCGGGUACCAGACAGUAUACAAAUCUUAUUUCCAGGAUGACACUCGCUGUUGGUUCCCCAUCCCGCGACUGAUCACCGCGUACGCUAGGCGGCGAGAUAUCGUGAUUAUUCAGUUACUGAACGGCUCGCUGCGACUAGCCGUCACCUUAUCAGUUCUAGCGGAGGAGAUUGACAUGCCGAUGAGCGUCAGGUCGAUCGAGGAGAUGACCUCGAUAACCGAUAUGAAGGACGGAACCUACUCGGUGAAGAUGCGACCAAACUGCAAUGUGUGCGCCGGUCAUCCAAACAAAACGCAGAAUUGGCAGCGUUCCUACUUCUUCAUCAAGUCCAACGACUCGCCUUUCGAGGAGCCUCCUCGAGAGGACUAUCGGGUCCUGUGGAACCGUUCUUGUGGUAGAAUAUCUAGUCGCGAGCUACGUCUGAUUUUGUUGAUCUUAACGGAACUUUCUUUUGUUGUGCUCGCAGUUGGCCAUCCCACGUCUCCAGUCUAUCCUGAGGAUUUCCUGAAGAGCGUUCAAGCCGUCGCUUUGCUUCGGAUCUACCGUUGGUCCGAGAUUACCGUCGAGAAGAUUCGCGAGCUUAAGGACCGGAUCGCUCGAAGUGCGUUCCCUUGCCGUUUCUGGUUAUUUUUUUAUCGCAAAGUUUAUUUGUCGCGCCCUGAUUUUUCCGCCUUGUGUUUUCAGGAGAGUGGAGAUCUAACCUUCCGACCGUUCUUCCUAUUCGCACCAAGCGACUAGACAUCUUCCCAAAGGAUAUCCAGAAGCGAAUCUCCGAAGCAAAGAGGAUGGGAACUCUUCCCGAUUUGAGCGCGAUGUUAGCCGCCCAGCUGGGACUGGCCAGCGAGGAAGGACCUUCGACGAUGGUUCCUCGCAUUGGUGAGGUUCCCCCUUCUGACGCUAGAAACGCGGGGAAGGGUAAAAAAGGAAGAGGGGCGGCUCGGAAGUCGAGAGGAGCGCUGAGGAGGCGAACGACGUUCCUCCUUCUGGCGAACCCCAGAAGAAGAAGCAGAAGAAGAAGAAGAAGAAGAAGAAGAAGAAGAGGACAGAGAAGUCUGCUGGCGAGCAGUCGGAGAAUCCCGAAGACCCGACUGAGAAUGAGGAGGGUGAUGUUCAAGAAGAAGAACUUCAACCUGAGGAGGAGGCUUCUGAGGCUGAAAUCUCGGGAGAACAUGACGAUGCGGUGGAAGUUGGUGAGAGGGAGGAAUAUGACAUUCCUCUUAACGCCGCCCGUCCGGAUGGUUCUGAAGAAGACAGCGGAGAGUCGCCGCUUUUGAUCAGGAGACGUAACGACGAGGUUGGCGAUGAGGCGCGACCUCCUAUUCUGGCGUCUUCUCGCGAGGGAACCCCGGUACCCAUUGGGGAAGGGGUCGUUCAGGUCGGCACUUCUUCUCGCGGCUCCGCUAUCUUGAGGAGGGUGUCCGGAGUCAACUUUCCAGACGAGGUCUCGUUUCACUACGAGGGACCGGCCCCUCUAGUGUACCUUCCCGAGAAGUGUGGGGAGUUCCUUCGCCAAUUAAGGGGGAGGGCGAAACCUUUGCCCGCUGUGAAGGACCUCAUCUUUGGAGGUGAAUAUGAGGAAGCCGCGAGGGCCACGCUGCUGGUAAAUGGCUCGGUCCCUUUCUUUUUUUUAUGUUUCAUUCUUUGACUUUUCCUUACAAUUUUCAUCUCCUCAUUUGUUUAGGGGGAUAGUGCGAUGAACGUCGUGAUCGACAAGUACGACACUGCCCUGAAGGGAGCUUUAGGCGAACUCGAGCUGGCUAAGAAGGAGUGCGCGGAGAAAGAGGAAGCUUCUGCUCGCCAGUUGAAUGCGUCGAGGGCUGACGUCGGGAGGCUUAACGGGAUGGUUUCUCGCAUCAUUGCUCGAAGAGAUGAGCUCAAAGCUGAGUUGGAGGUAUCCCGAGGAGUCGUUCGUGAGCUCGAGCGGAAGAACGCCGAACUUGAGAGCGAGAAGGUUUCGNNNNNNNNNNNNNNNNNNNNNNNNNNNNNNNNNNNNNNNNNNNNNNNNNNNNNNNNNNNNNNNNNNNNNNNNNNNNNNNNNNNNNNNNNNNNNNNNNNNNNNNNNNNNNNNNNNNNNNNNNNNNNNNNNNNNNNNNNNNNNNNNNNNNNNNNNNNNNNNNNNNNNNNNNNNNNNNNNNNNNNNNNNNNNNNNNNNNNNNNNNNNNNNNNNNNNNNNNNNNNNNNNNNNNNNNNNNNNNNNNNNNNNNNNNNNNNNNNNNNNNNNNNNNNNNNNNNNNNNNNNNNNNNNNNNNNNNNNNNNNNNNNNNNNNNNNNNNNNNNNNNNNNNNNNNNNNNNNNNNNNNNNNNNNNNNNNNNNNNNNNNNNNNNNNNNNNNNNNNNNNNNNNNNNNNNNNNNNNNNNNNNNNNNNNNNNNNNNNNNNNNNNNNNNNNNNNNNNNNNNNNNNNNNNNNNNNNNNNNNNNNNNNNNNNNNNNNNNNNNNNNNNNNNNNNNNNNNNNNNNNNNNNNNNNNNNNNNNNNNNNNNNNNNNNNNNNNNNNNNNNNNNNNNNNNNNNNNNNNNNNNNNNNNNNNNNNNNNNNNNNNNNNNNNNNNNNNNNNNNNNNNNNNNNNNNNNNNNNNNNNNNNNNNNNNNNNNNNNNNNNNNNNNNNNNNNNNNNNNNNNNNNNNNNNNNNNNNNNNNNNNNNNNNNNNNNNNNNNNNNNNNNNNNNNNNNNNNNNNNNNNNNNNNNNNNNNNNNNNNNNNNNNNNNNNNNNNNNNNNNNNNNNNNNNNNNNNNNNNNNNNNNNNNNNNNNNNNNNNNNNNNNNNNNNNNNNNNNNNNNNNNNNNNNNNNNNNNNNNNNNNNNNNNNNNNNNNNNNNNNNNNNNNNNNNNNNNNNNNNNNNNNNNNNNNNNNNNNNNNNNNNNNNNNNNNNNNNNNNNNNNNNNNNNNNNNNNNNNNNNNNNNNNNNNNNNNNNNNNNNNNNNNNNNNNNNNNNNNNNNNNNNNNNNNNNNNNNNNNNNNNNNNNNNNNNNNNNNNNNAAUAAUUAUACAAUAAGAUGACGUUAAAAACAUCAUUAUUUGUUUAAAACAUGAAAUAUAAUAAUUAUACAUGGUAAUACUGAAAACUAUUCAAUACUCUUAUCAUAGGCAUUUCGAUUCUCUUCAGGAGUAAUCUAGUCCAGCUCAUUAGCGAAGUCGGAGGAUUCAAGGUAUGAGGUCCCUUCAAAGUUUUCCGUGAGGUUCACCUCUUUAGCCUUUCCUUUUAUGGACUCUUGAUAUAACUUGCACAAAUGUGGGGGAGUACGACAGGUACGGGACAAAUGUCCUUUACAUCCACAUCUGUAACAUACAAUCUCACUUUUCUUUGUGGUAUCCUCUUCGGUUUCUUUGCCUUUAGGAGGUUUCCGCUGUUACGAAACUUAAUUUCAAACAAAGAGGCGCACACAUAUGUUGAAAUAAUAAAAGAUGUGGGUCUCACUGUCACUAUUUGCACAGUGAUUUUUCUUCUAUAAAUACGAAAUUUUUCGAUCAUUUGUAAGACACAAUUACAUCUUCUUCUCCGUACUUAUAAUAAACUUUCUCCCUUAUAUUAGUGUUAUUUGCUUCCUACGGGUAUUAAAUUCUACUCUUAUUUAAAUUUCUCGAUACUAUAAAUUAUAAGUUAUUUCAUAACACGUUAUCAGCACGAUCGUUCUGCAAUUCGGUAAAAUUUAUUGUAUCAUAUAUACCCUGCUAUAAUGGUCGGUAUACCGCAUGUACUAUUAUUUAUAUUAUGUUAUAAUGGCCGGAAUACCGCCUAUAUUAUUUACUAGUAAUUUAAUUUAUUUAUUGGUCGGCCGAGCCGCCUUAUAUUCUGUUUAUUAUUUAUUGGUCGNNNNNNNNNNNNNNNNNNNNNNNNNNNNNNNNNNNNNNNNNNNNNNNNNNNNNNNNNNNNNNNNNNNNNNNNNNNNNNNNNNNNNNNNNNNNNNNNNNNNNNNNNNNNNNNNNNNNNNNNNNNNNNNNNNNNNNNNNNNNNNNNNNNNNNNNNNNNNNNNNNNNNNNNNNNNNNNNNNNNNNNNNNNNNNNNNNNNNNNNNNNNNNNNNNNNNNNNNNNNNNNNNNNNNNNNNNNNNNNNNNNNNNNNNNNNNNNNNNNNNNNNNNNNNNNNNNNNNNNNNNNNNNNNNNNNNNNNNNNNNNNNNNNNNNNNNNNNNNNNNNNNNNNNNNNNNNNNNNNNNNNNNNNNNNNNNNNNNNNNNNNNNNNNNNNNNNNNNNNNNNNNNNNNNNNNNNNNNNNNNNNNNNNNNNNNNNNNNNNNNNNNNNNNNNNNNNNNNNNNNNNNNNNNNNNNNNNNNNNNNNNNNNNNNNNNNNNNNNNNNNNNNNNNNNNNNNNNNNNNNNNNNNNNNNNNNNNUUCAUGUGUUUCGGCCAUGACUAGUCUCGUUUCUUCGCCGGAGAUACAUUUGAGUAGCACCUUCGUCGCGGUCCAUCGGUGUAGUUCCCCGUCCAUGACAACGUAGUGUGCACUACGUCGCUUCAGUCGCCGCGCGUCCCAUUUCUCGGUGGGCAAUAAACCUUCAGCGAGAUAAUCGAUGAGUUCCUUGCGCCAAUCUGUUGGCUGAUCAUCCUGCGAAGGAGGUUCUGCUUCGUCGAUGUCCAUCGCUUCGCUAAUCGCUGCUGCAAUUGCAGUCUGUUCCGCCUUCAUGUCGAUGCUCGGUUUCUCGAUUUUAUGGAUUGGGAUUGUCCUCUUGACUUGAUCGUGUAGCUUGCUUCCUAGAGCAGCGAGGGCGUCGGCACAGACAUUUUCUCCGCGAGGAACCUUCGUGAGUUCGAAGAACUCGAAGUCUCGCGUGAGGUCUUGGACGAGUUUGAGGUAGGCGUCCAUCCUUUCGUUGCGGACGUCGUAAUCGCCAAGGUACUGGCUUACAACAAGUUGAGAGUCGCAGUAAGCGCUGAUUCUUUUGGCCUUUACUGCCUUGGCGAGACAGAGCCCUGCGAUGAAGGACUCGUACUCAGCUUCGUUGUUUGCGCCGAAAAACCAAAACCGAAUGACUGCCGGAUGAGUUCUCCUGUUGGUGAUUGCAGUUGCACUCCUGCCCCCGACCCUUUACUCGUGGAUGAACCGUCGACGUGGAGGAUCCAGUUUAAACUUGGUAGGAUGAGGUCUUGCUCCAGCUCUGGUGUUAACUCCAUCAAGAAGUCUGCAAGGACCUGUGACUUUGCUGCUGUGCGAUUCUUGUACACGAUGUCAUGUUCGCUCAGCUCCAUCGCCCAUUUAGUCAACCGUCCUGACUGGUUGGUAUUCUGCAUGACCGUUCGGAGUGGUUGGUUGGAGAGCAUUUCAAUCGUGUGUGUCUGAAAGUAGGGUCGCAGUUUCCUAGCCAAGGUGACGACAGCUAAGGCCAUCUUUUCGAGUGUUGGGUAUCUCGUCUCUGGCUCAGUCAUUCUUUUACUUGUGUAAAAGAUUGGUUUCUGUUCUCCCCGAUCCUCUCGAAUGAGCACGCUGCUGACAGCGGAGGAUGUGACGGCUAUGUAGAGAGACAAUGUGUCGCCGGCUUCUGGCUUUGAUAGUACUGGGGGGGUUGUGAGGUAGUGCUUGAGUUGAUUGAACGCCUCUUCGCAUUUUUCAUCCCAGACGAACCUCUUGUUGCCCCUUAGUAGCUCGUAAAAGGGAAGACACUUAUCGGUUGAUCGCGAGGUGAACCUGUUGAGAGCUGCUAUCCGUCCGGUUAGUCGCUGUACUUCGCGGCUGUUCUUUGGGCUUGGAAGAUCGAGGAUCGCCGAGAUCUGCUUGGGGUUAGCCUCGAUUCCUCGUUGAGUGACAAUGUAGCCGAGGAAUUCUCCCGAAGUGACACCGAAGGUACACUUGGCCGGGUUGAGCUUCAUCCCGUAGUCAUUCAAGAUCUUGAAGCAGUCGCGUAAGUUGUUUAGGUGAUCGUCGGCCUUGAGCGAUUUGACUAACAUGUCGUCGAUGUACACUUCCAUGGUGUUGCCUAGCUGAUCAGCGAACAUUCGGUUGACGAGUCACUGAUAAGUCGUGCCGGCAUUCUUUAACCCGAAAGGCAUCACCUUGUAGCAGUAGGUCCCUCUGUCGGUGAUGAAUGUCGUCUUCUCGUGGUCGUCGGGAUGCAUUAAGAUCUGGUUGUAUCCCGAGAAAGCGUCCAUGAAGGUUAGGAGUUCGUUACCAGCAGUUGAUUCGACGAGACGAUCGAUAUGAGGGAGUGGGUAACUGUCCUUUGGGCACGCCUUGUUGAGGUCCGUGAAGUCGACGCAUAUGCGCCAUUUGCCGUUUUUCUUUUUGACGACAACCGGGUUAGCCAACCAUUCGGGGUAUCGGACUUCGGUNNNNNNNNNNNNNNNNNNNNNNNNNNNNNNNNNNNNNNNNNNNNNNNNNNNNNNNNNNNNNNNNNNNNNNNNNNNNNNNNNNNNNNNNNNNNNNNNNNNNNNNNNNNNNNNNNNNNNNNNNNNNNNNNNNNNNNNNNNNNNNNNNNNNNNNNNNNNNNNNNNNNNNNNNNNNNNNNNNNNNNNNNNNNNNNNNNNNNNNNNNNNNNNNNNNNNNNNNNNNNNNNNNNNNNNNNNNNNNNNNNNNNNNNNNNNNNNNNNNNNNNNNNNNNNNNNNNNNNNNNNNNNNNNNNNNNNNNNNNNNNNNNNNNNNNNNNNNNNNNNNNNNNNNNNNNNNNNNNNNNNNNNNNNNNNNNNNNNNNNNNNNNNNNNNNNNNNNNNNNNNNNNNNNNNNNNNNNNNNNNNNNNNNNNNNNNNNNNNNNNNNNNNNNNNNNNNNNNNNNNNNNNNNNNNNNNNNNNNNNNNNNNNNNNNNNNNNNNNNNNNNNNNNNNNNNNNNNNNNNNNNNNNNNNNNNNNNNNNNNNNNNNNNNNNNNNNNNNNNNNNNNNNNNNNNNNNNNNNNNNNNNNNNNNNNNNNNNNNNNNNNNNNNNNNNNNNNNNNNNNNNNNNNNNNNNNNNNNNNNNNNNNNNNNNNNNNNNNNNNNNNNNNNNNNNNNNNNNNNNNNNNNNNNNNNNNNNNNNNNNNNNNNNNNNNNNNNNNNNNNNNNNNNNNNNNNNNNNNNNNNNNNNNNNNNNNNNNNNNNNNNNNNNNNNNNNNNNNNNNNNNNNNNNNNNNNNNNNNNNNNNNNNNNNNNNNNNNNNNNNNNNNNNNNNNNNNNNNNNNNNNNNNNNNUUUCGAGGGAGCGAGAGACUGCUUAUCCUUGCUGUCCAAUUUAUCGCGCAUAUCUGGUUGCACUGUCGGGACGUCGUCAUCUGAGGAGUCGCAAGGGCGAGAGAGUAUGACUUCCACUCAUCGCCGGCGACGCGGGUGUUCGUCUUCUGACGAAUCGUUGGCGGGGCCGACAUUGUUGAUGGGAGUGCGCUCAGGGCUUGCUCUUUCCUCGCUCGGGACCGUGUUUUUUUGAGACUUAUGUGCCUUCUUCUCCUUGUUCUUACUCCAGCUUUUAGUGUUUUUCGGUGUCGUAGGAGAAGUGGGCAUUUGGAUUGUCCCAUUAGUGAUCCCGUCGAAAAACUGCCCGAUGAGGACCUUGCACUCCUUCGUGUCAUGGGAAUCCCUUUUGUGGUAGAGGCACCAUUUUUUCGGCUCCUCGGAGUUUGAACUCGCUGGUUCGGUUGGGGUUGAUUGCUUCGGAGCGGAGUCACGAUCCCAGUGGUUCCAGCCUUUCUCUCUCGUGAUGGCUGCUGAUUUUGGAGAUUCCUCAUCAUCAACCGAGAUAACGUAGCCUCGCUUCUGAGUGGCAUUUCCACCGGAGGAGUGCUGGCGAGGCUCGGGGCGGGUGUCGUUAGUUCGGGAGGAUCGUUGUCUCGAUGCAGUUCAUGAGAGGUAACUGCGGGGUCGAUUCCCUUCAUGUCGGAAGUCUUCCAGGCGAACGUCGAGGCGUUGUCUUUGAUGAAAGAGAUGAUCUUUGAACAUACGUCGUCGGACAGGUGGACGCCAACUCGGAUGAUUUUCGUCGGGUCGGAUUCAUCAAUUGCGACUUCGCGAACUUCCUCCUUCUGAGGGUAUAUCUUGUUGAGUGGUUUACUGACGGAGUUGACAAGGGAAGCUUGUUGCUGCAUCUUUAAAGUUGCGAUCAGCAGUUCUCUUGCGGCUUGUUGAUCACCCCGAAUCGUCUGAGUUUUGCCGUCUUUUCCGGGAAACUUGAUGCAUUGAUGAUAAGUCGAAGGGACGGCUUUCAUGGAAUGCAGCCAUGGUGUUCCGAGUAUGGCAUUAUAGGGUGCUUUGGCGCGGAUGACGGAGAACUUGACGGUGCGGGUUAUACCACCUGCGUAAACUGGAAGGCGAAUUGUCCCGAUCAUUUGCUCCGAGGCUCCGUUGAAGCCGGUGAGCGUGCGAGAGGAAGGCUUCAUAUCCCUUAAAUCAACUCCCAUUUUGUCGAGUGUGUCGCGAAAGAUGAGAUCGACUGAGCUGCCGGUAUCAAUAAGGACUUUUGCGACUAGGCAUUCACCGAUGUCAAGGUCGACGAGGAGAGGAUCGUUAUGUGGCAUGUGGACGCCCUUGGUGUCUAGUGCCGAAAAAGUGAUCUGGUGAUCAUUUUCGACUGGAGAAGGCCACUUCUGAGAGGUGGUUGCUUGACGUUUGUAAUCUUUGACGGCUCGAACCGAGUCACCGCAAGGUGGUGAUCCGCCCAUUAUGACACUAAUGUGCGGGGCUCGGGUAGCUCGCAUUGAUUCGAGUUGCUUCCUCAAAUCGUCAGUUGUGUUCUCGAAUGUAGGAGUUUCUGCGGGCUGUUUCUUUUUUGAUUCGAGACGUCGUCGCAGAUCGGACCCUUUCGAACGGUUGAGUUGGAUUCGCAGGUCGUCGGCCUUCGAAUUGAGCUGGUCACGAAGGUCACCAAUUUGACCGACUCUCCGGGCGUUGCAUUUUGAGAUGGUCGCACGGAGGUCGGUGGUUCCUGUGUUUUCGUUCGUGGCGCUUUUUCGCUUCAAUAGAAUGCGUAGGUCUUUAUCUGCUUUCGAGGGAGCGAGAGACUGCUUAUCCUUGCUGUCCAAUUUAUCGCGCAGAUCUGGUUGCACUGUCGGGACGUCGUCAUCAGAGGAGUCACAAGGGCGAGAGAGUAUGACUUCCACUCGUCGCCGGCGACGCGGGUGUUCGUCUUCUGACGAAUCGUUGGCGGGGCCGACGUUGUUGACGGGAGUGCGCUCAGGGCUUGCUCUUUCCUCGCUCGGGGCCGUGUUCUUUUGAGACUUCUGUGCCUUCUUCUCCUUGUUCUUACUCCAGCUUUUGGUGUUUUUCGGUGUCGUAGGAGAGGUGGGCAUUUGGAUUGUCCCAUUAGUGAUCCCGUCGAAAAACUGCCCGAUGAGGACCUUGCAUUCCUUCGUGUCAUGGGAAUCCCUUUUGUGGUAGAGGCACCAUUUUUUUGGCUCCUCGGAGUUUGAACUCGCUGGUUCGGAUGAGGUUGACUGCUUCGGAGCGGAGUCUCGAUCCCAGUGGUUCCAGCCUUUCUCUCGCGUGAUGGCUGCUGAUUUUGGAGAUUCCUCAUCACCGACCGAGCUAACGUAGCCUCGCUUCUGAGUGGUAUUUCCACCGGAGGAGUGCUGGCGGGGCUCGGGGCGGGUGUCGUUUGUUCGGGAGGGUCGCUGUUUCGCUGCUGCUUCUUUUGCGAACUUUGCUCUGGUGUCUUCUUCCAUGCGGAUAAAGUUGUGCGAGCGAGCGAUGGCGUCGGAGACAGAUUUUGUCGGGUAUCGGUAGAGAUCCUGACGGAAUGUGGAGUCGACGUGCAAGGUGUUCAUCAAAGAUUCGACGGCGAUAUGGUCGGGAAUAUCAAUCUUCGAGACAAUAGCUUUGAAUUUCUCCAUGAAGUCGCGGAGACUUUGGUCGCUGGCGUGAGUGAGGUUCCACAAAUCUGACACGGUCGCUUCCUGGUUGGUGAACAUGAUAUAGUUCUUAAGGAAAGCCGUCGAGAGGUCGUGGAAACAGUCGACGGAGUUCUCUCUGAGGCCGGUGAACCAAGUAAGGGCCGGUCCUUCUAGGGUUUCGACGAAGAGUUGGCAAAAGCCGGCGUCUUUGUCUUCGUCGGUCAGGUUUGCGCGUCGCAUCGCUAUGUUGAAAGACGUGACGUGAGUAGAAGGGUCAGAGAGACCUUUGAAGGUUGGAAGACGGAGUUUCUCCAUCUUCUGUAGCCGCACGCCGGUAACCUUUUGCGUGAAGGGUGUACGAAGAGAUUCCGCGAGUACAUGCUCGAUUUGGGGCGCGGACGUCGUCACCUGGUGGAUCUUCGAAUUGAUGUCGAGGACCGACUGUUUCAACGCGGCUAGUUCGCUUGCGGUGUGCGCGUUGAUGUCGUUACCGGCGCUUUGGUUAUCGUUAUCCCGCGUAGGUGCUACGUCGGUGGUUCGUUCUGUGGCGAACAGGUGUCGACGAUACUGCGCCGUUGAAGCUUCGGCGUUUGCAGCGAGAGGAGCAAGGAUCUUUGCUAUCGCCGUGAUUUGGUCAACUGCCGCCUUCUGCGCCGCUUCUUGUAGGGCGAGGCGUGCCAGGAUAGUUUCCAUAGAUGCAGGAUGAGGAAGUGGAGUUACUGGUGUAGGCGUAGGUGUCACCUCUGGAGCCGGUGUCACCUCGAGAGCUUCGCGCUCCUCGCCUGAUGAAGAGCUGUCGUUGCGAACGACCAUAGUUCUGACGUUACUUUGCUAGUGGUCCCACGGUGGGUGCCAACUGUUUAAUCGGAAAACGGUAAUAAAUAAGAUGUGGGUUUAAACAAAGACGUCUUAUUAAUGGUCGGAAAUAUCAACGUUCGAUCGAUUACAAGGGAAAAGAAGAGAGUGCGACAGAAAGGAAGCCGGUGGCUCGAUGAGCUACCGGAAAAGUACAACUAACGGCGAGAUGAAGCAAAAGGUGAAAACCCUAAUCUAGCCGCCAAGUCUUAGUCAGUGAUUUCGGAUCCUUCUCUCGUUGUCUCCCCUUUCCCUUAUAUAGACGUCCUAAUGCCUCGUCCUUGACCUAAUUUACACCAUCUUGGUGGGCCUCCUCUGCUGGGCCGAGAAGCCCGUAGGCGUCCGAGCAGCCGCUGAGCUGGAUGUACUUCAGUCGAUGAUGAUCGACUAAAAGUACCCAAGAAUCAAGCCGAGAGACCUGACUCUUGAGCCGACCGAUCGAGCCGUCGCUCUAACUAAUCCAGGCCAGGCCUUUCUAUUCCUCAGGUCUUGUGGGAUGGUCAAAUCCAUCCUUUACAUUUGCCGCCGGUUACCAUUUAUUUCUGUUUUGUUUUUUGGUUUGUAUAUAUUUUCGAUCUUAGGAUCGAUUUAGUUCUUCGCUUUGGCGAUUAUCAUUUCGUUAGGCGACUUUUUGCUGUGUUUUUCUCAGAAUCCGAUUUUUCUAUCCUUUUACAAAUCUAUAUUCCGAUUGAUUUGGCAAGAUUCCAAUCUUCUUGUUACUCAUGCUUGAUUUCUUUCCCAUAUAAGGUAUUAAUCUUCGUGUUUAAAACUUUGGCGGAGUAUCCUUUGCGAGAUGGAGAUUAAGAUGUUUGAUUAAGCGUAGAGAGAAGAUGCAGGUUUAGAUUAGCUAGAGUUUUCUUCAUCGGAAACGUUCUGGCAAGACCUCGCUUUUUUUUUUCUCUCUGAAGCUAUUCACUGAAGCUUACAUCUAACAAGUUUGAUGAAAAUUCGAGCAGGAUUGAUGGCGAACAUGGAUUGGAAAAUCGGUCAAGUAGAUUCAACUAGUCGAAGAUAUUUCUGAAGAUACCCAUUCCGGCAGGUCUCCGGUGAAGCCGAUGGUGAUGUUCUUCAAGCUUCGACGCCAGAAGUAUCGAGACCCGACUAAGAAUUGUACACGUGUCCUUGGUGCUCUAAAGUUAAAUUAUUGAUGAACACAUGUGGUUCGACUUUAUCUUUUGUUAGUUUGGGCUUCAAAUAUACACGUGAUUGUAUAUUUGAUGGUUGUAUCUACUUGUAACUUGCAUGGCCCAAAAGCCUUAUAAAAAUAUGUUGACAAAAACAAAAAAAACCAAAAACCAAAAACUUGUUCAUAUAUCUAGGUUAUUACCAAGCAAGCAACAGUUAACUGGUCCAAUGCAAAGAACCGCUCCUAACCAAAUGUGAACGACAUGAAAUUAUACAAGCAAUUCAAGAGCAUGGUCAGAGAUUGCUGGAUGAAGAAAGAUUUGUGGAAGCAUCGCCUAUUAUACAUUUGUUGGCGAGAGAACAUCAUAAUCACAGUUUCUUGUAUGAUUCCAUUACCGUAGAAUAGAAACAUAUCAUUCAAUAACUAAUUUAUAAAACCCCAUGGUUGGUGUAAACUUGCAGACAAAAUCAAACUAUUACUGCUGGAAGUUGAGAAUCAAAUUCAUAGCAUUAUAGAAUCAAAACAUAUAUAAGUGCAAAAGAAACAUGACUAAAACAUACGAAGGGAAAUGCACAAAAUAGCUUCGUCUACUUCUCAGAAGAGUUGGGUCCUCUCUUCUUACCGAAACCAACAACUGCAAAACACAUCCAUUACCCAACAUUAAUCAACGCAUUAUAUAAAAGACAAGCGUUGCAAUUAGACAUUUUUAUUGUAAUGCUAAGCAAAGAGCUAAAUCUAUAAACAUCCAACAAACAAAUGUUGAAUUAGCCAAUAAUUUAAACAAGGAUCGGAUAAAUUACCGGCGGUGACGAAACGGCGGUUGUGCUGGAGACGCUUGUGGGCACGUCCUCUGGGUUUCUUCUUCUUGUCUUGCUUCGCUACCUUUGGUGUCUGUCCUCUCACCUUACCGGCACGUGCCAAAGAUCCGUGAACUUUCCCUGAGAUCAGCAAACACUAACACAGAUCAAUCGAUUUGACUUUCACUAAUAUGCAGUAGUACAGAAAUGUAUAAGCUUCUGAGGAUUACCCAUGGUUGAUUUGCUUCUCUGCUUUCUCUUCCGACGGCUGCAAUAAGCUGAUACGGGUGCUUAAUCUCAGAGCUAGGGUUUUCGUGAUGAUGAUAUGUAUUUAUAUCGUGACAACGAAGCUUCUCGGGCCUCGAGCCAUACUUCAAUCUUUCCAUUGGGUGUAAGGCCCAUAACAAUCAUAAAUUUACGUAUCCCUAUGUUUUCUUGAAGCAUUUCAAAAAUUAAAACUUUAUUUUAUUUUGUAUUAAUUAAAAAAAAGCAAAUCUCCAAAAUAUCAUCUUUCUAAGUUUAUAUCACAAAAAUAGCUCUCAAAAACUAAAAUGACCAAAAUAGCACCUUUUUAAGUUUAUCCUUUAAAAAUUUUAAUUUUUUAUUUUUCAAAAUUUGAAAUCAUAUCCCCAAAACCUCAUUUCUCAACUCUAAACCCUAAACCCUAAACUCUAAACCAUAAACCAUAAACCAUAAACCCUAAACCCUAAACUAUAAACCCUAAACCCUAAACCCUAAACCCUAAAAUCUAAACCCUAAACCCUAAACUCUAAACCUUAAACCCUAAACCCUAAAUCCUAAACCCCAACCUUU